rnacentral:lncRNA from 1 species
CUGCCCUUCCGUGGUUCUAUGAAAGGCACAAUUAGAGAGGUGUUUGGACAUGAGAGUGGAGAAGUAAAGUGGGGGGGGGGUGAGAGCAAGGAACGGGACUUUCUGGUAAAGUGGAAUGUGACUGAGGAAUUCAAUGGAGCUUAGGAAUCACUUUCUGUGAUGUCUGGUUUGCUGCAACUGACUAGGACCCCUCUCCUUUCUCCUUAUUUGAAAAGAGUGAAAUAUGCUGAGAAAUGAUUUGAGAAAAGGACUGCAGGGCUUAUUAAGCUGGUCACCGAUGUCUCAUUUCAAAGCUAAUUCUUAUGUCCAAACUAAAGUCUAGCUUCAGAUAAAUUCUCAAUUCUAAAGCUGUGUGUCUGGAUGCUGUUUUUCCAUUGACUGUACUGCAAAAGAGAAGAGGAGGGGGGAGGAUGUUGGUUUUUAUUUUAACCCCAUUCCACUCACGUUUCUUACAAGCAAAAUUCCAACUGAGAGGAAAAUGAAAACAGCUACUGCUCAUCCCUAAAGAACCUGCCUCUGCGCUAUCAAGCUAUGCAACACAUUAGACAAAUGCAUCACACAAAGCCUGAUAUUAAUGCUUUUAAAGCAUCUUGGGACUAUUUUUUCAUUUUCAUAAUUUUCACACAUUUCAAAGAGUUGGUUCUAGGGAAAAAUGGGGGAAAGCAAAGAACAAAGAGUCACAGUCACUUAUGGAUAGCAAUCAGUCGUCAGAUGUGUAAAUUAUUAACUGUAUUUAAGGACUUGAUUAUAAUCAGACACUAAUCAAAUGCUCAUAUCUAAAGGCAAGCUUGUGGACAUGAGAAAUUAGAUUAAAUUUAUAUUUUUAUUCUUUCCAGGGGCUCCUUUAGAAAAGUCAAGUAAAAUAAAUGCCACAAGCCCCCCCAAAAUCCAAAUACCUUGUGUGUGUGUGUGUUAUUUGGAAUAUGCACACUUUUCAUUUUUAUUGUAUUUAUUUUAUUUUAAAAAUUGCCUAAACCUUUUUGUGUUUACUGCAGCUUUUUAAAAAUAGCAUUCCCGCCCCCCCCCAGUGCAUCACCCUAUUAUCAGGGAGAGAAUUGGGGAGGGCAUUUUGCCAAUUUUGCAGGUUGGGGACGAAAACAACUGAAAUAGUUGGGGGGGGGGGAAUAAAAACAGAAUAAAAAUAAUGAACGAAGUUAGAUCAAGGUUUCAUAUUUGGUUUAUCUUAUUUAUGUAGCAGGGUGACUGGUCGCGGCAGCAUCCUUUGGGGUAACAGUUGUGGAAGUGAAGAAGUGUGUGCCUGCAGGUGUGUCUUGACUUCAGGCUAUUUGAAAUGGUUCUGAUAGACCCAGCUUUCCCAUAAAGAUCUACACUAAAGCGCUAAGUCCCUAAAUAUGGUUUCAUGCCCAAGGCAUUCAGCAUAGGGUUAAAAUGAGAAGAUUAGUCCCUUUUCUGAAUGCCAGCUUCCCCCUUCUUCUUAAAUACUUUUGAAUGACUACAGCUAGUCACUUCCUACAGUCAGUGGUGCCCUAAAUAGUUAAGGGAAGAGGGCAAUCAAAUAAAAUGCAUGGGGCCAGUUUCCUAAAUAGUACUGUAUAUUCAGUGCUUUUUUCCUGUGGGUACAAACAUGAGCCUGACCAAACUGUGGGAGGCAGUGGAAGACAGGAGUGCCUGGCGUGCUCUGGUCCAUGCAGUCACAAAGAGUCGGACACGACUAAACAACAACACUCAGAGCUACACAGUACCGGCACAUUUUUUUAAAGAAAAAAAGAACUGUGUAUAUCUAAACACCCUUUUAAAUUGAGCUCCUCCCCAAUAUAUAGUUUACAGUCAAAUUACUGUUAUAUAUUGUCUACAGGCAAAUAGGGCCUUUCAGCACACUUUACAUCUGCAAAAGCAAUCAUUAUCCAAAGGAAACUCAUUACUGCCAAACAGUCCCAUUGUAAAAUCCCUGAGGAGGCAAAAUAUCAUACUCACAAACAAUGCCUACUAAUAGCUGCCUAUUUGUCUGCUCUACUGAAUACACAGCACACACCGCCCCAUUCACUUUCUACCUGAAGUUCGUAGUUAGAUUAAUUAGGAGUCACCAUGUUUCAAAUUAAAACUCUGACAUAUGCUGCUGUUUUGAACUCUCAAAUUCCCACAGACCAACUGGGCUGGUUUCUACAGUUUCAUGCAAUGCUCAAGCGUCAUUUUUAUCAUUUAGCUAUGGUUAAGUUAGUUGCUUCUUUGAAGUAUGGUUUUGGGAGGCAUUAUGUAAAAUAUAAUGAAUUACAAAUCAAAAGAAGCUGGACAAACCCAUCCAGUACUCUCUUAGAUUAAAAAUAAAUGUAGAACAAAUAUACAAAUUUUGUUUCCAGGAUUACCAAUGGAUGCAUUUAGGUUAUUAAGGUAAUAGUAAUUUAAAUGAAUUACUUUGUACUUACUUAGUUCACUUGCAAUUCAUACGUUAAUGUCUGCAAAGUUUAUAAAUGUUGUCCAUGUUACCGUAAAAAAUUCUGAUAUUUUUCUAUCCAUUUGCUAUUUUAUUUGGAGUGUCAAGCUUCCCAUUACUGUUAGCUUCUUUCCAAAGAGGGAUCCUGCUGCAUCCAUGGCUGCAGCCUUGGAUUCUGGCCGAAAUCAAGCAUGUUUCUCUCUCUCAGGCUUCCAGCUGCUUCUUCCUCCCGCUUCUAGCUGAUUCACAUACAACUCAGCUCUAGACUUUUGUCUUUUCUCACUACCUACCAGCAAGCUGAGUGAGUGGGAGCCCCCAUGUGUGAAAAUCUAGACAGAAAAGUUGUUCAGCUUUUUUUGGCAAAGUUGCAAAAUCACAAAAAAAUGCCGUUUUAAUGGGAAAACGGGGAAAAAAGACACUGCCGACAUGGGCUGCCAUACGUCUGGAUUUUCCUAGACAUUUUCCCAAUUUCCACAAACUGCCAACUGCAAAUGCAGUUUUCCAUUGCCUUAACAACCCUUGUUUAUAGGGCCUUUAUCACACCAGGAAAGUCACCAGGAUAUUCCAGGAAUUUGAAUCCUUGCUUAGAUUUUAAGGCUUGCUGGAUCCAGGAAUUAGAAGGAUCUCAGCAUGCAGCCUCCCGCCCCCAAUGGUUUCCUUCAGUUUUCAGACCCUCCAAGUGUCCCUAUUUUCCAGGGACGUCCCUGAUUUAGAGAAGCCGUCCCAGUUUCUGGUCCCCAAAAGUCUCACUUUUCCUUAGAAUGUCCCUUCAGUGGUACCUCUGGUUGCAGACGGAUCUGUUCCGGAGCUCCGGCUGGAUCCCGAGGUUUCCGCAACCAGAGGGACCGCUUCUGCACAUGCAUGCAUGGCGGUAGAGCGCUACUGUGCAUGCGUGUGUGGUGAAACCCCCAAAAAUACUUCUGGGUUUGCUGUGUUCGCGUCCUGAAGGAUAAGCAACCAGAGGUGUGCGUAUCCAGAGGUACCACUGUAUUUUCAUUGGAGAAAUGUUGGAAGGUGUGGAAUAAGAAGGAUUCCUCACCACUCCCACUGGCUUGGAAUCUCCAGAUAAUACCUGGCUCUUAAGAAAACCUUUCCUUACCCAUAAAACUCACUGCAUAACCUCGGGCAACCCUUUGACAAUAAUACAUGUGGAAACAAAACAGGAAGGAACUCUCAGGAAACAAAUGAACUUUUCCGAAGAUCUCUUACAAAAAGUUUGUAUAUACCAAGGUGAUUUAAAGUUCAGUGGUUCCUUGCAUAGGUAAAGAAAACUGAUUCAGUUGCACUCAUGACAGAAAAGAUGGUCCCUCCUGGUCUCCAAUUAGGAGGACAAAACUGAUCUGCCAGAAUUACUGCCAAAAUUCAGCACAAAGGUAAUCAGAUUUAUGCUCAGGAGCAUAUGUUUACUCUGAAACCUUGCCAAGGAGGUUUGGCAAGGGUGUGGAGAGCACCUCAACUUGCUCACAGAACAGUUAUGUCAGAUGUGGCAAAGACAAACACUGGGCAUAGGAGAGCUUAGUCGGUAGGGCAUAAUCUCAGGGUCAUGGGUUCAAGCCCCACAUUGGGCAAAAUAUUCCUGCAUUGCAGGGAGUUGGACUAGAUGUGGUCCCUUCCACCUCUACAGAUUCUAUGAUAACAGUCUCUGUAUUAGCAACCAUGAAUCUAGUGUUUCAGAGGGACAAAAAUUGCUCCUCGUUUUGUCUGGAACCAGCAGAGUCCAUUCUGGGACCAAAAAGCAAAAAUAUCUGCAUUUCUUGCAGUCUUGUAGAAGAACCUGAAAACACCAAAGGAGGAAGCAAAACCAGCUUCCAGAGAAUAUAAAGCAACCAGGAAAGAACCACUGACAGGGUGAAAAACUCAACCAAACACCAAGAACUGUGACUGAGGAACUUGCUAGACUGGUUGCAGGAUCUGAGCUUGGCCCCCACAGUCCCAACUCACUCAUACAAAGAGCACCAUUACAUUUGCUCAGGCCUUUCUUAAGGGGGCACGGGAGGCAAUUGGCUCAGGCCUUGUGCAUGGGGCCUUAACAGGGACAAUGCUGCAUAGUUGCCAACUCUCCCCUCCUAAAAAGAAUCUCAUGGGGUCCCCAUCUCAGGGGGAGGGAGGGGAAAAGCCAAAUGCAAGAUCAAUCAUAUUUGAAAGAUUAUUUCUGGAUUCUUGAUGUAAUUUUGCUUUUAAAAAGAAACAAAAUGCACAUAGGAAAAAUAUCAGGAUCAAAUGGACUCUGGAGCUUAUCCAAAGGACAAAGCAGGUGAAUAUAUUUAAUGUUUCUGAUUAAACAUCUGCCGAUGUCAGCAUACUGGCCAGUUCAUCAACAGAAAGUGGAAGUGGAUGAGCAUUGCAUGGACAGUCGUGGAUUUACUUAUCUGGGACUUGGCUUGCUUUGUGGCUCAGUUGCCCACUAUAUGUAGAUGUUUAGCCUAGUCCAAGUGGACAAUGGUUUCCCUGCGGCUGGACUCACCUGUGUGCAUCACGUACUUGCUUGCGCUUUGUGUUUCCAACUGUGUGGAGCUUGUUUGAAUUGUGUGGCCCUCCUUUGACUUUGGCUCUGAGGAGCAAGAGGCUGAGUUGAAUGCUGUUUCUCCAAGUCUGCACUCCCAGUGAAGGCACCAGGACUGUUUUGUCUGCACUUACAGAAAACUUUCUUCAUAAGCACCUCUUUUAAAAUUGAUAAUGCCCAAUUUAGUGACCAUCUUCCCCUGACAACCAAGUUAUGUGUUGACUGGCACCUGCUCGAGCGCUCCCACCCAAUCCCGGUGAUUGUGGAGCCGUCCACUAAAAUAAAGGGGAUUAGAUGGUCCCCUGCCCUCGCCCAUAGAUAUAUGGAUUUUAUCCGAGAAAAGUUUCUUGGUGAUCAGCCGGACGUAGGAAUAGUCCCGCGUGAUCCUAUUACCUGUAUGAAUUUUUCUCUUGCCUGAUAGAAGUUUUAACUCGCUUUUUACUUCUCAAGCUAUGGAGUUAAAAACGAUUAUUUUAAAUUUGGCGCCCCUUGGUUCAACUCUGCUUGUAAACUAGCCAGACUCCAUCUACAUACAAUAUAUAAUGACUAUAAACUUUCCGGCGCUCUGGCCUUACCUCCAUCUUAUUCCCUGGCUAAAAAGCAUACAAACAGGCCCAGAAAUCGGCCAAACGGGAAUGGCACUUAAAUCGCUGGCAGACUAUAAUUUCUACCUCAAAAUCUCAUAACUCCCGGAAAUUUUGGUCCUUAAUAAAGGGAAGAAACACGAAAUACCCCUUAACGGUGAUCCCGGCCCCUACAUGGGAGCAGUUCCUGAGAAAAUAUUUCUCAGUGGCAGAAGCUCCGGCCACUCACUGGAGACCUUCUAAUCCCCUUCCCGUCUGGCACAAUACCGACCCUGCUGAAAUCCUAGAAUUGAUAGCUGAGCUGAAAACUGGUAAGGCCCCUGGGCCAGAUUUGGUCCCUGUUGAGGCUAUAAAGCUACAUUCUGCAUGGUGGGCAGGGAUUUUAGCUAAAACGUUUGACGCAAUAAAUGCCACGGGCUUAAUACCAGGUACGUGGAAGGAGGCCAUUAUAAUUCCUAUCUACAAAAAAGGCCCUCCCGGUGACCCAGGGAAUUACCGGAAUAUCAGUCUGCUAUCGUCCAUUGGGAAAAUAUAUGCCCGUUUUUUGCUGGCAAGGCUGAUGAAGUGGUCAGCUGAGGCUGACCUGAUUGGGCAUGAGCAAGCUGGAUUUAGAUUAAACCGAUCCACAACAGAUCAGGCAAUUAUUCUUUAUCACUUAGCCCGGAAAUACUCGACACCUCGACGGGGCCAACUUUGCGCAGCCUUCAUAGAUUUGAAAGCUGCGUUUGAUAGUAUUCCGAGGCAAUUACUAUGGGAUAAACUUGCCUGCUGGGGAAUAGAUAGAAGGCUCCUGUGGCUUAUCUCCCAACUUCAUGCCGGGUCCGUGGCCAGGGUAAGAAUAUCCCCUGCUGGAGACCUAACUAACCCAGUGCCAGUAAAUAAGGGUGUACGCCAGGGUUGUAUUUUAGCGCCUCUUCUUUUUAACUUAUUUAUCAGUGAUAUGAGGAACCCAUUAAUCGACUCACAAAAAUCUAUCCACACCCCCCGUAUAGCAGAUUAUCGUUGUCCUUUACUUCUCUACGCAGAUGAUGCGGUACUACUCUCUUACUCCAGAGUGGGUUUAAGGAGGGCACUAAAGAUUUUUGCAUCAUAUUGCCAUUCUAAUCAUCUGUCUAUCAACCACACCAAGUCCAAAGUACUGAUAUUUUCAAGGAGUCGAAAAUUAUAUUCAUGGAAAUUGGAGGGCACGAAAAUUGAACAAGUACAUAAAUUUAAAUAUUUAGGAAUUUAUUUUCAAUAUAAUCUAGGGUGGAAAGAGCACGUUGAAUAUCUUCAAAACAAGACAAAAGCCCUAUCACACUCCCUCCUCCGUUUUUCUACUCUGAGGGGCCUUAUUCAUUCCUGCGGCCUUGAAAGUGUAUAGCAUCAAAGUGAUGGCCACAAUGGCCUAUGCUGCACCUUUAUGGGCUGCCUUUGCAAACCUCUCACCUUUAGAGUCGCUUCAAAGCCAAUUCUUACGCCGACUUUUAAAACUACCAACAUGCGUAAGUAAUGCGGCUAUUCGCUUAGAAAUGAAGAUCCCCUCAGUGGAGUUAGUUUUAUGGAGGAGAGUUUUGAUUUAUUGGAUAUCCCUAUGGCAUAAACUACCGAACCACUAUCUCAUUCAAUGCAUGUGGCGGGAUGACUUCACAAAUUUGUGGUCAGGAAAAAUCCAUGCCAAAUUGCUGUCCUAUGAGAUCUCGCCCACGGAAUUGCUCAAACUGGAUCUAAACGCGGCAAAAAGGUGUAUAAAUCAAAGGCUGGAUGAUGUGGAGCUAUACCAAAAUUUCUUAGCUGGUGGUGGAGCCUGCUCCCCGUUAAAUCUCGGCAUAACCCCUAUCUAUCGUGCUCCGUCCUACUUAACAUCGCUUAUAGCCGCAUCUCACCGAUAUGCCUUCAUUAGAGCCAGGUUCAAUGUUUUUCCAACAAACGUGCUGAGACAUAGAUUCACUAAGGGCCAAGUCCCUUCAAUGUGUGCUUGUGAAAUGAAAACAUCUGAAUCUUUACAUCAUGUUAUGUUUAUCUGCCCUAUGUACAGUUUAGCUCGCGCUAGUAUACUAAACUCCAUAAUCCAGCCUAUGGCUGACAAACCAGUAGACCUACAGCUUGCCUGGGUUCUUCAAGAUGUAGAUCCUUAUAUUACUCUACAGGUUGCUAAAUUCCUAACAGCCGUUCUCUCGUACAAGAGACGGAAUGGAAUGUUAGCUGAUUAUUGAUAGUUAUAAGAAUUUUUGAUAUUGACAUCAGAUAUUGAUUUUAGCGUAGUGCCUAAAUUUUUAACUUUAAUCUUAAAUUUCUGUUUUGAUUUGCCAAUAUUUGUCCUUGUGAGCUGUGAAUUGUGUUAUAUUACUUGUGGCUUGUUCGAGACCGCUGUUUUAUUUGAUUUGUUUUGUGUGUUGUGCUUUAUGAUGGGCGUAAAGCCGAAUAAACAUUUUGGUUUGGUUUCUUCAUAAGCUGGUUAAAGAAAAGGCACUGGACACUUUGUACCAGGACUGGGGAGAAAUAGAGUCUCAAUUCAUAGAGUCGGGAGUAGAAACUUUAACAGAGCCAAUCUAACUAGAAAAAAAACAGCGCAAGUUAAAAUGGCACACGUCCCUGGCCAGGGAAGAAGCGACGAGUGAUUAUCUACUCUUGGCAUGAGGAUGGAAGACCUACAGCCAAGAGGCUGCUGUAGAGGCAGCACCUCCAGCCUCCAAGGAGCAGGGGGGAGUGGCCCCAGCAGCCCCAGGCAACCCUUGGCGGCGGGAUCUGCUGCCAUGGGGCUGCUGCUGCCUGAGAGGGUCAGCUCCCCUUGCCUCAUGGGUGGGCCAGCCCUCAGGGGGGUGGGUGUUUCAGAUAGGCCAGCAUGGGAGUCUCCCAGAGGUAGCACACAAGGAGUUGGUAAAGGGGAAACAUCUAACAUGUACUUUAUGUUUGACAUAAAGUGAGAAAAAGAAAAAGAAAGAACCUUUAGAGGAAUUGUAAUACUGUGUAUUAUUGUGAAGCCUUUUGCCCUAACUUGCCAUUAUUAUAAUUUCUAAAUCCACUUGUACUUCAGGUUUUUGUGGUAAAGCCCUUGUUUCACUUAGUUUUAAGUGGGAAAGCUUUAAUUUCCCACUUUAAGGAAGGGGCCAUAGCUCAGGAACAGAUGCUUUAAUUAUGACAAUUUUGGCUCCAUUGUUUAACCAAAUAAAAACACAGUAGAAAAAAAUGAAGGGAAAAGUGUUUGCAUCGCCCAGUUCUAGUUUCAAUAUUUGCUUUUUCUAAACACAGAAAAAGAAAUAUGUUAACAUCUAUCGAUCUGCCAUGCUUGUAGAUUAAUUAAUGCUAAAAGAUGGAACUGUGAACUUAUCUGGCCGAAGCAGCGAAUAUCAAAGUUUCUCAGUGGCCUGAUGGGGGAAUGAAAUUUUAAUAUCAGUGGGGAACUAGAGUGUAAUGUUAAGUUAAUAGCGUUCUAGUUUCAAAGAGAAAGACAAAACAGGAUUAAAUCCAAUGAACUAAUGUGAAGUUGAAGGAUCUAAUGUAGCCUUGUAAAGAGCCACUUGCCUGGCAAGGACUUCCUCCAGCUGACAAUCCCCUGCCCUGUCGUUGAGGAAGGGGCCAUAGCUCAGGAACAGAAAACAUACAUUAUGUGCAUACUGUCUGACUUCCAGCCCCUGCCAACACCAGGGGCUAAUAAUAAUAAUAAUAAUUUAUUUCUAUAUUAGUGUUUUAAACUGAUUGUGAACCACCUUAAAGCAGGAUGGUUGAAUGGCAACCUAGAAAUCAUAGAAUCAUAGAAUCAUAGAGUUGGAAGAGACCACAAGGGCCAUCGAGUCCAACCCCCUGCCAAGCAGGAAACACCAUCAAAUGUCUAUACUGACACAAGUGGAAGCUAAAGGGAGGCAAGACUUGGAAAACCGCCUUCAUCUUGAUAAGCAGAGGGUGUGCUGCCACUGGGCUGAAGAAUUGUCUGAGAUAUUCUCUGAGAAUUUGCUUCCUGGCUCCCCCAAACGAUUAAAUGAUACUAGACUUCUCUGGAGACUCUUUGGUGAAAUGCCUCCCAGCUUCUCUGCCCAUUUCAAGCUAAACUGUGGAUCUGUUAGGAACGUGGCCCCCCAGAGCACAGGGGAAGAGUCAGACUCAGAAAUUGAGCUAAAUGAAUGAGGGACCGGCUCUGCAGAUGAGAGCUGGCUGACAGAGUAGAGAAAGGGCAGUUUGACCCCCCUUCCCGGGGAAGAUACUGUUCGCUCUCAAGAAGAGGAAGAGUUGGAAGGCAGCCAGAGCGCUGCUAGGCAAUCAGCAGAUAAGCAAAGGUCUGAGACUGUGUUAGCUGAAAGUGGGGAGGGUGAAGGCCAGCCUCUCAGUUCCUGUUCUAGGAGACUGGAUAAGAUCAGAGGGCAAUGGAAGGGCAAGAGGGGAAAGGCGAGAGUUUGGCGUCCUUCCUGCUGUGGGAGGGGCAAAAAAUCAGACCGGCCAACUAUUGUUAAUGCGAGCAGGUAAGAAGCCGUGCUCUGGAGGCGUUUUUGUUGUACAUAAAACUGCCGGAGAGUCAUUACUUCUUAUCAGGGCUUGCUUGCCAGAGAUCAUUACAGUAUCUAGCUUUCAUUAUUGUUUAUUUUUAAAAAGAAGUAUCAUUGAAGGAAGCAUUGGUUGUGCACCCCUCUAGUCCUCCUAGUCUUCCUCUUUUAGCCCAUUGCUUCCUUCACCCAUCUACCCACAGAAUUUCAUUCAGUAUUAGCACCAAAAUUUAUCUGAAGUGUAUUUUCUGAGUAAUUCAUUUAGAGAGUUUUCUUUUCUGAACUGUUGGAGAAUUAUGCCAGUGCCCUACUGGCAAAAAUGUCUCACCUGUUCCAAAUUUCAUCAUCCACAAAUGGUUGUUUUCGUUCAUUUAUUUCAUAGUCACACUAUCAUCAUUUUCUAGUUUUCCUAUCACCCCCCCCCCCUAAAUUUCUCAAAUAUUUUGCCUGAGCAAGAGUCUCAACAUUCCACCUCAAAAAUUCUGCUUUAUGCUGUGUUUGGUGGUGUUUUUGUGCACACAAACAUGCAGAAACACAUUUAACCGCUUAUGAUUCUUAAAACACUAAACACUGGGGUCACAUUCAUUAAAAAGCACUUGUGCUGUAUUACUUCCAACCAAUUUUUUUUCCACAAUAAAAGUCAAGGCAAGCAAACAUGUGUACAUUAAAUCCAUCAACCCCUUGUUUGGAGCCUUCAAAUAAGCCUCAGUGAACCUGUCAGGAUCUAUUAUGCUCCAAAGUAGCCGUUAGGUUCUAUUAUGUCAAUUAUCAUGUACAUUCAUGACAGACUGCUCUCUUUAUUUUUUAUUUUUUAAUAUUAGCAUUAAAAAUAAAUCCAGGAUGAGGUUGGAUGGCUGAAAGAGUUGCUAUUGCUUCAUAAAGUAUUUCACUCAGAAGUUAUUGGGUCAAAUCUAGUCAGGGUCAGUGGUGACUAAGAACCUCUGGUGAUUUGUGUUGAUGUUCUACAUUUAGGACCUCCCUAGUCUUUCAGGUUUUCUCUAUAUUCUUUCUUGCUUUACGUUUGUGUGUUUCAGACUAAUCUAAUGAUACUGAGGAAGUGUGUUGCGUGUGAAGACCCCCAAACCCCCUCCAAAAUAAAUCACGCAGGACACAGAAUAUUUGUUUAAGACUUUUGGUAUUAAUUUGGCCACAACUUUAUUGAUUACAGCAGGUGAAUGGUUACUUAGGCAUUGGUUCGGACUACCUGCACCGGCAGGAACAGGACUGACAACUGGAACCUCCAGAGGUCAGUAAGGGAAAGCAUACUGGGGGAGCACAGAGGCGGAUUUCCGACUCUUAGUUCACCCCAGAUGCUCCCAGGAACUCUGGCAUGGCCCUACCCCUGAGAGGGGAUCGGACAGAGCAAAUCGAGCCCCUGGAUUCCUUUAACGGAAUUCCCUAGCAGCAGCAACAAAAAUGAGGGGCAGGCACAGCCAAUCCAUAAUCCCCUCCACCAAAGAAUGAAACAAUGUCUAACCGCCAACCUUACAAAGUUGUGAAAAUUUGCUACACGGUAUGCAAAAACCAAAUGGCAUCAGCCAAGUGGCAAAAUUCAUACCAGGCCCCUGCUCCAAAAACAGACGACCCCUAGACAGGCAUAGCAAGGUCAAAAACACAAUCUUAAAUUAUAGGGAGGGAGGGAGAUCCGCUGCACGAUGCGCAAGAGAAAGUACUUCACCUUGUGCAGCCCCUUAAAUAGCCCCUUAAUUGCCAGUCAAACCCCAACCGACAGAAAAUUUUCCCCAGCAACAAAGGGGCAGCCAAUGAGGUGAGGAGGUCAUCCAAACGGGCCCACCCCAGCACCAAGAAGGCAGUUUGGUGAUCUCACCACAACACGUGGCUCUCCAUGAUUUGGAGGACACAAUCUCCUGAAACAGAAUGGUCUUCCAAAUCUAAGGUAGGAAAGUGAAAGUGAAUGGGGGCAAUCCUGGAACUCUGCAAUAAAAGAAACCUUUAAUAACACUGUCAAAAAAUAGUUUUGUAAAUUAAAUCAAGUAUACAUAAUUAUGAAAAUGUGCGUAUAUUGCCAUGCCCUGACAACGAUAAUGCAUGCUUCAGUCUCAUUUGCCUUAACUGAACAUUUACUUUGAGGCUUAUCUAACCCUUUUUGUACCAGAUUCUUGUCCCCAUGCUGUAAGGUAAAGGGACCCCUGACCGUUAGGUCCAGUUGCGGACAACUCUGGGGUUGCAGCGCUCAUCUCUCUUUACAGGCCGAGGAAGCCGGCAUUUGUCUGCAGACAGCUUCCGGGUCAUGUGGCCAGCAUGACUAAGCCACUUCUGGCAAACCAGAGCAGCGCACGGAAACGCCGCUUACCUUCCCGCCAGAGCGGUACCUAUUUAUCUACUUGCACUUCGUGCUAACAAACUGCUAGGUUGGCAGGAGCAGGGAACAACAGGAGCUCAUCCUGUUGUGGGGAUUUGAACUACCGACCUUCUGAUUGGCAAGCCCUAGGCUCUGUGGUUUAACCCACAGUGCCACCUGCGUCCUGUACUUAUUUGCAAAUAAACCUACCCACAAAAAGCCUUGUGUGCAUAGACCUGAUCAACACAGUUUGACCUUUCCAAUAGGGUGGUCUGCACAUCUUGAGCCUAGCCACCAGGGCCCACCCCACCAUUAUUCAAAGUGAAGCAACUGGGCACUGGCCGGCGGUGGGGGGGGGGGUUUAGUUCACUUUGACUUGCAUUUUAAUGCCAGCCGACCUCUGUUAAAAACAAUACGUGGGUUGAAACACAGCUCUCCUUCGAAACAUACCUUACACAGAUUUUUCAGAUGCAAUUCUCCACCAAAAAAUGUGAUAUGUUAUAUGCAUAAGAAGGCCUAUAUUUGGGGUCACUGACAAGGGCAAAAUACCUUCAUGUUCCAAUUCUGUUGCUUAUUGUGAUUCAAUAGAGAACUUAAAUUAGUUUUCUUCUUAAAAGCAAAUACAACAUUUAAAUAUUGCAUUAGUAAGAAUAAUGAUAGUAAUAAUUUCAUUUAUGAACAACAGAAGCAUAAAGAGAGCCCUGCUGAAUCAAACCAGUGGUCCAUUUAAUCCAGGGGCCGACCAGAUGCCCAUGGGCAGACCUUGGGUUUUCUAAUUUCAGUGGUGCCCUGUGCAAUGCCCCAAAUCAGCACCUCCUCCUCUCCUCUUCCAUUCUGCAUAAGAGGUGUGGGGCCCUUUGCGGAGCCCCCAAGGCUCUCCGCCCAGUGCAACCAAACUAGUCGCGCUCCCCUAAACCCGCCUCUGCCUGCAAGCAGGAUCUGAGCGCAUGAGCCCUCUCCCCUCCCCUGAUUCCAGCAACUGGCAUUCGGAAGCAAUGCUGCCUCAACCGUGGAGGCAGAGCAUAGCUCUCAUGGCUAGCAACCCUUGAGAGUGCACUCUUCCUUGAACCCAGCUAAUCCUCUUUUAAGGCCAACCAGGUUCAUGGCCAUCUCUGCCACCCAGGGGAGAAAAUGCCAUAGUUUAACUAUGUGAUCCAUGAAGAAAGAAGAGAAGAAGAAGAGUUUGGAUUUGAUAUCCCGCUUUGUUGUUGUUGUUGUUUAGUCAUUUAGUCAUGUCCGACUCUUCGUGACCCCAUGGACCAGAGCACGCCAGGCACGCCUGUCUUCCAAUGCCUCCCGCAGUUUGGUCAGAUUCAUGUUUGUAGCUUCGAGAACACUGUCCAACCAUCUUGUCCUCUGUCGUCCCCUUCUCCUUGUGCCCUCCAUCUUUCCCAACAUCAGGGUCUUUUCCAGGGAGUCUACUCUUCUUAUGAGGUGGCCAAAGUAUUGGAGCCUCAGCUUCACGAUCUGUCCUUCGCGUGAGCACUCAGGGCUGAUUUCCUUAAGAAUGGAUACGUUUGAUCCCGCUUUAUCACUACCCAAAGGAGUCUCAAAGCGGCUAACCUUCUCCUUUCCCUUCCUCCCCCACAACAAACACUCUGUGAGGUGAGUGGGGCUGUGAGACUUCAGAGAAGUGUGACUGGCCCAAGGUCACCCAGCAGCUGCAUGUGGAGGAGCAGAGACGCGAACCCGGUUCACCAGAUUACAAGUCUACUGCUCUUAACCACAAUACCACACUGGCUCUCAGUUUCUUUUGUCUGUUCUGAGUCCUCAAACAUUCAACUUCAUUGGAUGACCCUGAGUUCUAUUAAAGAGGGAGAAAAUACAUUAUUUAUCAAUUUUCUCCAUGUCAUUCCAAAUUUUAUACACUUCUGUCAUGUCACCUCUUUAUUUCUAUUGAAUUGCUUCCCACGAGGCAUCCUGAAGCAAUUUCCAACAACAUAUCCAGUAAUAAAAUCCAAUCCAAUAUAGUUACCAACUAGGAUAAAGCUUAUUAAAUGAUUAAAUAAGUUACUAAGUUGCAUAAAACAAACAUUGGAUUACAAAUGCUUGUUAAUACAUGUUUAUUUUUCCUAAUGAUUACUGAAGUUCUACUCAAAAUGUUAGCUUCAUUGCACAGUGCAAUAGAGAAAUUUUUACAUAAUGCUAAGAAAUCUUUUCAUAAUGCAACAUGGAAAAUAUUCCACAAUACCUUUCACUGUAUCUAGGUGUUAAAAGACGAGGAAUCAAUUCAAAUAGAACACCUGCUUUGAAUUGAUAAAGCAGGAUCCUCAGCCGGAGAGAAAGAGGGGGAGAGAGUUUAAACAGAACUCAAAGCAAUGAGAUUUUCUUCUUCAUACUUGAUGAUGCAUCAGAGCACAGCAUCAGAAGAGAGCCAUGAAAUUAUAACACAAAUUCUGUAAUGAGACUUCAUGAAUUUGUAAAAAAAAAAGCUUAAAUUCUAAUUAUUAUUUUGCACAUGGAACCAGUACCCUUUUUGGCCAUUCUCUUUCAUAUCCCUUAUUACAGAAAUACGAACAGAGUAAUCCAGUGGUCUUUUUCCUUUCCCUGAAAUAAAGUAGCAUGCUGAACCACUGUGACCCUUUCAAUAUUCAGUAUGUGCAAUUUGAAAGGAUUGAAUCCAGUUAUGGACUUAGCAAAGAGCAUUUAAUGAAUCCCGGAAAUAGAGCAAUUUGCAUGGAAAUGAUGUAAGUUUUUUUUAAAAAAAUAAUAAUAAUAAUAAAGCACAAAGUGUUCAGCAGAAGUAAAAUAGAAGAACAUUUUCUGUUGGUUUGAUUGCUUGCAACAGAAAUUUGUUUCAUUUAUCAGAUAGUAUCCCACCUUAGGACCAAAUAGGCGAUGGGGUAGCUCAUUACAAUUUAUGACAAAAUAUAUAAUGGGUAAUUAGAAUUAACACCAAUGUAAACCACAAAGCACCCUAAAAAUAAUAAAUAGUAGUUCCAUCUCUACCUGCUUUCUGUGAUACAGAUAGUAGUGGAUAUUUGUUUUUUGAUAACAAUUUAUUAAUUUUCCAAAAAUAACAUGAAAGAAUAAAACAAUAACAACAAUAUAUAAAACAAAGAAAAUAAAGAAAAAGAAAAUAUCAUAAGUAAUUUUUUAAGAAACAUGUUUGGUUUCAUUGUUUGGCACUUGUUCAUGCACGUCCAUAAAACCUUAUAUUCUUAAUGAUCCAAUUUUAAACCUUCUUCAUCUUAAUAAAAGUGACUUUUAAAAGUUAUACUAAUGUAAAAAUCUGUACACAAAGCUUAACCGAUAUGCAUUGAACAUUUACCCCUUUUUAAAAAUUCAGAGUCCUUUCUUUCUUAGGUUUCAGGUUAUCUAAUUUGUCCUGCAUAGUUCAAAAGUUUAUUUUGCCAAUCUUCUUCUUUUUUGGCAGAGGCUUCUUCCUUCUAAAGGAGGUCUGUCUGAUCUUUGUGGGGAUGAUUAGGGAGGCAGGAGAGGAUAUAUUAUUUAAUGAUAUCCUUCCUAACUUGCGCUAGCAAGUUCCAUAUUCUAGCAGAGUUCCAAACAUCCCCCUUUUUAAAUUACGCAGCAACCAGCUUGUUGCUGACUCAUCUGAGUUUUACUAUUAAAGAUUCCUUCCUGGUAAAAUCCCUUUUAAUCCCUCUUAAAAAGAAUAAACACAAGAAUCUGAUUAACGUUAAUAUAAAAGUAGUUUACUCACAGAUUCAUUCAGGUUCACAGACAUAUCCCUGAAGGCAGGCUUAGGUUACAUAACAACUAGAACUAAGUGGUACCUCUGGAUGCAAACGGGAUCCAUUCCGGAGCCCUGUUCGCAUCCAGAAGCGAACGCAACCCGUGUCCGUGCUUCUGUGGGUUGCGAUUCACUGCUUCUGUGCAUGUGCGUGAUGUCAUUUUGACCGUCUGUGCUUGCACGAGCAGCGAAACCCAGAAGUAACACGCUCCAUUACUUCCGGGUCGCCGCAGCGCACAACCCGAAAAUACUUAUCCCGAAGCUACUUCAACCUGAGGUAUGACUGUAUUCCAUAAAGAAGUCAGUCCCAAGUGACUGUGACUAAGGAGUCACUUCUCUAAACACACAGCAACAUACAAAAUGGAGAACACACACACUGAUCAGAACAUGGAGGCCAUGUGCUCCUCCAUGCUAGUACAACAGACCACACACCCUCUUCAAGUCACAUGCAGUGGAAGUCUGUCCCAGCUCAGGAGGAAAGGGGAAGUCUUCUCCUGAGUGGUACAAAACACCCACUAACAUGUCCACUGUGGGAAUGUUGUACUUGACUCCUAUAAGUUUCACAUCACACAGUCUUGGCCUGGUAUCGACUCUUAGGUACAGAAACAAUGUCUUUCGUCCAACAAGUCCAUCAAAACCUGCACAUCUCAAUAUCAUAUAUUCAUUUUUUUAAAACAAUAAUCAUUUCCCACAUUACUUUCCAAUCUUUCUCUGUCUUUUCCCAAGCCUUUUUAAUGAUUUUACAUUGGCACCACAUAUAUAUAUAUAGUGCCAAUGUAAAAUCAUUAAAAAGGCUUGGGAAAAGGCUUUUACUGCCCUCCCUUCCUGUUUCUUCUCUAUCACAGUCAAAGCCUCCCAGAUCAUUUCACAUGAGGUACUGUUUUUAAUUUGAACCACUCUUACUUUCCCAUGUAUUUUUCUCAAACCUCAUUCCCUCAACCAUUCCUGCAUUGGUAGUUCGUGCAUUUGCCUUUUUAAAUUGUCCCACAGCCUCUGAAAUUAAAUUGGUAUUUUCCUGAAUUUUGACAGCUGCCUUGUUAACAUCUUCCUUAAACUGAUCAAACAGUUCUCUUUUAAGAUCUAAAAGCAAAUCAUAUAAAACAUAUCUUUUAUUCUCUUGCAUUACGGCCUGGCUGGUUUGUUUUAACAUUGUGAUUUUUACUUCUGCCAUUUCUAAUUUUAACUGAGGGGGUCUAUUGUCUCCCUGUUUCCUGGCUUCCUCUGUAUAUUUUAAUUUCAAAACAAAGUCUUUUCCCACCACACAGGGCGUUAUUUUUAACCUUAUUGGUACUUUACCAAGGACACCAUCAAGCUCAGUAGAGAAAGCCAGUACUUUCAGCCUGUUCCCUCCCCCUAUUCUAAGUUACUCACAACUGCAAAAUUUUAACAAUUGUAUAUUUGAAUCUUUACAUCUAUUAACAUCAAAAUAACUUUUAAAAUAUCCAAUAUAAUAAAUCUAUAUUGAACCUUUUAUUUUUAGACUGAUAUUUGCAGUAGAUAGUCCUCUUCUUUUAAUCUUGAUUUUUAUCCAGCUAAUACUGGGAAAACCAUAGCUUUUACUAUACGGACCUUUGUUGGCAAGGUGAUGUCUCUACUUUUUAAGAUGCUGUCUAGGUUGGUCAUUGCUUUCCUCCCAAGAAGCAGGCGUCUCUUAAUUUCGUGGCUGCUGUCAACCAUCUGCAGUGAUCAUGGAGCCCAAGAAAGUAAAAUCUCUCACUGCCUCCAUUUCUUCUCCUUCUAUUUGCCAGGAGGUGGGUCCGUAUAGUAAAAGCUAUGGUUUUCCCAGUAGUGAUGUAUGGAAGUGAGAGCUGGACCAUAAAGAAGGCUGAUCGCCGAAGAAUUGAUGCUUUUGAAUUAUGGUGCUGGAGGAGACUCUUGAGAGUCCCAUGGACUGCAAGAAGAUCAAACGCAUCCAUUCUUAAGGAAACCAGCCCUGAGUGCUCACUGGAAGGACAGAUCGUGAAGCUGAGGCUCCAAUACUUUGGCCACCUCAUGAGAAGGGAAGACUCCCUGGAAAAGACCCUGAUGUUGGGAAAGAUGGAGGGCACAAGGAGAAGAGGACGACAGAGGACGAGAUGGUUGGAUAGUGUCUUUGAAGCUACAAACAUGAGUCUGACCAAACUGCGGGAGGCAGUGGAAGACAGGAGGGCCUGGCGUGCUCUGGUCCAUGGGGUCACGAAGAGUCGGACACAACUAAACGACUAAACAACAACAACAAAUGCCUUUUAAUAAGUACAUAGUUGUAAUUUCAUAGUAGGUCAUAUUUGAAGGCGAUUCCCUCAGUUAAAAAAAAUCACACUGUACUCCCUGCCGCUCUGGACCUAAACCUAAAAAUGCACUUUUUUCCAGGUUAGAGUUAACUAGAAGUGGAGGAGCCUUGCAUACAGAAGAAUGUCCUUUAGUUCAUGGCAUCUCCGGUGUAUGGAUCUCAGGAAUGGAGAAGACCUUUGUUUAGGACCUGAAGAAGCCCUGUCAUUCAGGCCAAAUGAACCAAUGGGUCCGACUCAAUGGCAGGAAGGGGCCCCCUCCCUUUACCUGUCCUUUUUAUAAAGGCUGCAAUCCAAAGUCCUCCCAUUAUAGUCGCUUCCAUUAUAGGCAGCUGGAAUUCCGCAACCCCUCCUUCCCAAACAAAGGGGAAGCUCUAUUUGCAUUAGGACUGAGUGGCUUUCCUCUGACAGAAUCAAUAUAUCUGAGAGGUGUGCAAAAUUUAGCUUCAGCCCUGCUCCCCACAUCUUCCAUUUUAAAUGAUUAAAUGUGAAGAUAAAGGCAGAGAUCCUUGAAGUUAAACUGGUUUUACAUCCAUACACUGCUAGAAAGAACUACAUGUUCUGUGUGUCAAUAGGCCCUUUUGAGAUGAUAGAUACUAAAAUGUACUUUGCAACGUUAUUUGCCAGGAAGUUAUUUUUAUGAGCUUGGCGCAUAAAAUCUGCUAGUGCUAGAUAAAAUUGACAGAAUAAUUAGGUUUCUUUUUAAACCACACCAGUGAAUGAAAUGUAGUAAUUCCAAGAUAAUAUUUCCUGAGGAGAUGUCAGAGGUGGGGGAAGCAGGGAGAAGGAGAGGGAUGAUUCACAGCUGCCAACAUGAGGCACUAUAAGGCAUGGUGAGUGGGCUGCAAAAGCGGUGCAGGUUUGCAUCAGGCAGCCCUCAGCACUGAAUACAUGGCCGGGGGGGAGGGGUGCAUGGACAGUCAUGCGCUAACUCCUCCUCCAUUGCCUUCCAGCUCAUGGUGCUGUCAAUUGCAUUGCAGAAAAAAAUGAUGCUAUUAUUAUUAAUAACAAUAAUAUUAAUAUUAAUUCAUUUCACUUAUUCAUUUUUUAAAACCAAAAUUCUCACAAUAAAAUAUUAUAUAUCUCUGUGUGUAGAUAGAUAUAGAUGGUAGACAGAUAGAUUAUAGAUGAUAGAUAGAUGGAUAGAUAGAUAGAUAGAGACAGAUAUAGAGAUAUGACAGCUGAGACAAUGUAAGUGACCAUACAAUGCUUUUCAGUAAGGGAAGAAACAUCUCCCUUGGAGACAGAGAGCCCUGGAGGGUUGCACUGCUUUUUUUCUUUUCUUCCAAAGUUCCAAACUGCCUUUUCGCCUCUGCCAAAUGCUGGACGGUAUGAAAUUUUCAAGAAGAAGGUUACUACAGAGUUAUGAAUUAGUUCCCAGCAAUCCAUAGGUUUUUCAGCAGUUGGGCAAGAAAGCAAAUGUCUUAGGCAACUGGAGACUCUUGGAGAAAUUUGCACUGCAAUAUACUCAACUGCAAGUCACUCUGUAUUAGCCAUUCUGAGAUUUCUGAGGGAAAGUAGGAUAUACUUUAAGCAUAAAAUAGUAAAAAGCCAGUCAAGAAGAUAUACCUGUAACAAGGAUGAUAGCAAAGCUUGGAGCCCCUGGAGUAUAUGCCACCAUCCAUAGGAGUAGAGUAGGCUGGCAGGUCAGUUGAAAAUGUAUGGAAGUCAGGUCCAAUAACAACAGAGGAGGUUGCCUUUGUCUGAUACAAAGUCAGCUACAAUGCAUAGAAAGAAGUGGUUUGAUAUUUAAAGACCUUCCCCAGCCCACUAACACAGGUUGCCGGCUGUUCCCAUGAGUCCAUGUACCAUGGUGUCCACUAAAAGCACCUGGCAAUGAAUUCAAGCCCUGGGUUUGCCAGCAAAUCAGACAGAUAAUCUGAAGGCCAAUCAAAACCUGGAUGAAGUCCAUCCCUAAAUAUUGGGAAGAGGGGUAGAAAGCCGUAUUGUGAGGUAAAGGCCAUCACCUGCAGAUUCAAAAAGGUCAGAGCUAUAACCGCAUGGAUAAUAGUCUCCAUUAUUGUAUUUGAUGAAGGUAAUAAAGCAUUGAUAGUUUUCCGGCCAACCCGCUUCCUUUAAAGCAUAGGCUUUGAUAGCAGAAGUUUGAGCUUUUCAGCAGAAGCUGUACAUUAGAUUUUUCAAAAACUGCACAGUAUCUGUUGGCUACUAAAAUGACUUCAGAACUUGCAUGAUUAUAUUCUGUACUCAAGCUCUUUUAAAUCAUUUUUCCUUUAUUUGCCAAGGACAAGGGGGGGGGGAAUAACCAGAUACCUCACUCCAAAGCCAUGGAUGGGGUAGUUGCCUCACUUUACUUCCAAGUCAUGCAGAAAUCAGAGACGUUUGCAGAUCUCUCAUACCUUGCUCAGAUCAGAACAGAGACCCUGUUCAAAAGUAACGGUAGUUGCUGGCCAGCAAACCUUGUCAUUUUAAAAGCUUCCCUGUCUAACUACAUUGCCAUUUUAAAUUCAAUAUACACAUGAGCUGGCAGAUUCCCCCUCAGCCACUUCUUCAGGGUAGAGCAUGGCAUCAUGCUAGGCAACUGGGCUCAGCACCUUCCUGUGCUUUCUUGAAGGUGACGCUCUCUGAGGUUUUUAUAAAGCCCCUGAAAUGGCCCAGGGUCAUUUGCAGAGCCAGGUGAUCUGGAGUGGUCAGUGUGGAGGUAGAAGGCAGUUUAUGAUAUUUUACCUUUCUCUCUCCUUCCCGAGAACCCUGAGAGAGCCAAAAUGUUUUGCUGAGCUUUAAUACCAAUAAUAAAGUUUGAGCUGGGGUAAUGAUGGCAAUCUUUCUACCACCUAAUGGAAAAGCUCCAUUUAUGGCCUGUGUUAAGAGUGGCCAAUGAAACAUGGAAAAUGUGUAAUUUGUGCAGAAAAUGGGAGUUAUGCCAUUUUGGUUGGCAUAAACAAUGCAGCGACUGCUCAGAAAUAGCCAUGUGCACUCAUGAAUGGCUCCCCUUAUGUGUGCUCUGUUCCUUCCUCUUGCUUUUUCUUUGCUGGGGCAUAAUCAGGAAAGGAAGCAGUCCCUCUUCCCCUCAGAGCUACACUUUUCAAGGCCAAGAAGAUUAACGGAUAGUGACAGUUUAUCCCCCAUCUCUGAUUAAGAGGCAUUCAUGUAACAAUGGUCACUUGCCAUAUCACUGGCCAAUGAAAUGAAGUGCAUAUUUAUAUAAAUUGAAUUUUUCCAGAUUUGUGAUGGGGGCAUUUCAUUGUCGCUGCUGAGCCUGCAGCCUGAUCCCACCUUCUGCAAUUAAACCUGCUCCCUUUAGAUUAGAUAAGGGGGACACGUUUUUACAGUGGAAGCUGCCGCCCGAUAGGCAACACUUGCAAAGGAGAAAUCUGUUCAGCAUGAACAAGACUUCCUGCUCCAUCCCACCAUCCCCUGUCUAUGGGGACUGAGGAGGGGACAGGAAGGGAGGGAGGCAGUAACUCACAUAAAAAGCUACUGACAAGGUUGCAAGGGCAGAGCGCAUGAUGGGAUGUGUCUUGAUUUUUCAGAGUGCCCUCGGUAACAUUCUGCACUGAAAGCUGCUGCUUGAACAACAUACCAGCAGCAAAAGGAUUCAGGGCAGUGGAGACAGAACAGGUUGGAAAACAGUUAAGAGCAUUGGCAGCCAUAUCAGAUUUGAAAAAGUAUUAUUAGAUGCUCGCCAGGGCUGGAGCUUAAAAGUUUUGCUGUAUGGAAUUUUCUCCCCCGUUAUUAUUUAUAACACACAAAAAUAUUAUUUAUAAAACACAAAAAUAUAGCCUGUUUACAUUUCCUGAUGACAAGAAUGAAGUCUGCUGAAUGAAGGCUGCACAGCUAGAAACACUUUAAAAGGAUGCGGAUUUGAUUUGUAAAUGGGCUGUCACACAGGGACCAACAUGAAAUAUAAUAUUGACAAAUGCAAAGCAAUGAAAAUUAGCAUUUAAAAACCUCUUGAACUGCAGCACAAAGCCAGUUGUGCUACAUUUUGUAAAGUCAAACCGUUUAAGAAAAACAAAACAAAACAAAGCAAGCAAGCAAAUAACAAUGACCUUGUGGUGAUGUUGAAACUGUUGAUAAAUGGAAUGAACAAAGGAGUGCUGCUUUUCCCAAAAUAUAUGAUGCCCCCCAAGGACAGGCCUGCAAAACUUGUGACUUCCAAAGCUAACGGUGGCCUGGCAGCCACAGUACUCGGAGGGCUGGCAAUGUUCUUAGAAUCAUAGAAUCAUAGAGUUGGAAGAGACCACAAGGGCCAUCGAGUCCAACCCCCUGGCAAGCAGGAAACACCAUCAGAGCACUCCUGACAUAUGGUUGUCAAGCCUCUGCUUAAAGACCUCCAAAGAAGGAGACUCCACCACACUCCUUGGCAGCAAAUUCCACUGUCGAACAGCUCUUACUGUCAGGAAGUUCUUCCGAAUGUUUAGGUGGAAUCUUCUUUCUUGUAGUUUGGAUCCAUUGCUCCGUGUCCGCUUCUCUGGAGCAGCAGAAAACAACCUUUCUCCCUCCUCUAUGUGACAUCCUUUGAUAUAUUUGAACAUGGCUAUCAUAUCACCCCUUAACCUCCUCUUCUCCAGGCUAAACAUGCCCAGCUCCCUUAGCCGUUCCUCAUAAGGCAUCGUUUCCAGGCCUUUGACCAUUUUGGAUGCCCUCCUCUGGACACGUUCCAGUUUGUCAGUGUCCUUCUUGAACUGUGGUGCCCAGAACUGGACACAGUACUCCAGGUGAGGUCUGACCAGAGCAGAAUACAGUGGCACUAUUACUUCCCUUGAUCUAGAUGCUAUACUCCUAUUGAUGCAGCCCACAAUUGCAUUGGCUUUUUUAGCUGCCGCGUCACACUGUUGGCUCAUGUCAAGUUUGUGGUCAACCAAGACUCCUAGAUCCUUUUCACAUGUACUGCUCUCAAGCCAGGUGUCACCCAUCUUGUAUUUGUGCCUCUCAUUUUUUUUUGCCCAAGUGCAAUACUUUACAUUGCUCCCUGUUCAAAUUCAUCUUGUUUGUUUUGGCCCAGUUCUCUAAUCUGUCAAGGUCGUUUUGAAGUGUGAUCCUGUCCUCUGGGGUGUUACCACCCCUCCCAGUUUGGUGUCAUCUGCAAAUUUGAUCAGGAUGCCCUUGAGUCCAUCAUCCAAGUCGUUGAUAAAGAUGUUGAAUAAGACCAGGCCCAAGACAGAACCCUGUGGCACCCCACUAGUCACUCUUCUCCAGGAUGAAGAGGAACCAUUGAUGAGCACCCUUUGGGUUCGGUCAGUCAGCCAGUUACAAAUCCACUGAGUGGAUCAGACCAAGGUGUAUCAAACCCACCAGCCUCUUUUCGACAGUAGCCAGCCACAUGCGACCUCUGGGAAAUGCACCAGAGUCAUAGAAUCAUAGAAUCAUGUUCUCUUAAGCCAGGCUCUGAAAAGAGCUUCAGGGGUCUCUAAAAGCCCACCUUGAAGGAGAGGAGACCAUUACAUGCUCUGGGAUUCUUCAAUGAGCUCAAAGACAACUGCUGGCUUCCCUGUCUGAGGAAUGUUUUGCACAGCCAGGACAGAGGAGAUCUCGUUCAGCAAAGUCCUUGUCAGCCACAGAUCAUGAGGGCCAACUGGCCCCCCAGAUGCAGCCAACAGAGAUCAAGCGCCCUGGGUCUUCAGCGGCCAAGGUCUUUAAAGACCUCUUAAUGCUAUUCAGUGUAAAGGAGUGGCAGGGCUGCCUUUCAUAGAAAUAGGACUAGUGGGAAAUGACAGUAGGAAGGACAUCAUGGCAGGGGUUGGCUUCCUCCAUUUUGGAUUUAGCCCCGCGCCUAUUUAUUCUGACACAGUUCAGUUUAAUGUCUGCCAAUAGCGUCACUUCCUUAGAUUCCAGAGAAGAGAACCAUUACAUAGAAAUGGCAGAUGGGGGGGGGGGGAUUUUUCUGAGUUCUCAGAUUGUCUUGGAAAAGAACUACCCAAAGUUCCACAGUGUUGGAGUGUGGGACAGAAACUCCAGUAAUUUCUGAGUUCCCCAGAGGGGAGUUUCCUGGAGCCCUCAGGUCCUUUGAAUGGCAGCCCCACCUGAGGCUUGAGAACCACCACUGCCUGUCCUUGCUAUCUUCCUUAUAGAAUGGCAGAUUUGGAAGAGACCCUGGAGGUCCUCUAGUCCAAUCCCUGCAAGGCAGGAAUCUCAACUACAGCAUCCAUGACAAAUGCUUGGACUGCAAAAACAAACAUGGAAUAAUGCACAGCUGUGCUUGGGGGUAACAAGUUGUGCAGAUGUAUCCCAGGUAGAGGUGGGAGAGAAAUUCAGUGCUAUUUGAAUUUAAAGGCAAAUCUACCACAUUUCACAUUCCAAAACAAUAUGCGAACUGGAAUACAGCGACCUUUUGAUUUUCACACAUCUCCAAAUUUUGUAGUAGAGUUCUACAGCCAAGUCACAUCUACAAAAAUAUUUAUACUGGGGUAAAGUGUGCUUUAAAAUCCAUAGAUCUGUGAAAUAACACACACAGAAUGAAUUAUACGAUGUGAAAAUGUUUUGCAAAAAUGUGUAUAUCAGAGGAAAUUGCAUACAAGCAUGAGUCUACUGGGAGAAAUUCGCACUAAAAAGACGAAUAAUUUUCAUGAGGACUUUGCAAACAAAAUUGCAAACUGAUGUGGAAAUGUGUAGAAUUUGGGUUUGGAAAAAGCAAAAACUGAGAGAAACUGAAGUGGGCAGAUUCACCCAUCCCUAGUCCUAGCAAAGUAAUUUCUGUUUUAUGUUUUUCAAAGCCUAUGAUAUCCAUACAACUGGAAGUUGCAAACCAGACCACCAAUACUACCCUGUUCAUAAUCUUCCUUCUCCCUCUGGCUUGCUUUACAGAAUGAUCCACCCACCUGCGCAGGCACUAAACUCCCUAAAUCCUAAAUGUGAGGAAUUUCCAGAGGGAAAAGCAAAUUCCCUUGCAUUUUGUUGUCUCAUGGGGGGGGGGGCGCAGCAGAGUGAAUGUGUGUAAACACUCCAAAUGUGUGCUCCAAGCAAUAAUUCUUAAUUGAAUCAAUUACUGCUAGUGGAAGACAAUACCCAUUCCCAAGAAAUAAUUAUUCUUGUAGCCGGAUCCUAUGCAUACUUAAAAAUCCAUUAGGUCCAGUCACAGACGACUCUGGGGUUGCGGUGCUCAUCUCGCUCUAUAGGCCGAGGGAGUCAGCGUUUGUCCGCAGACAGUUUUUCCAGGUCAUGAGGCCAGCAUGACUAAGCCACUUCUGGCGAAACCAGAGCAGCGCAUGGAAACCCCAUUUACCUAUUUAUCUACUUUACUUUGACAUUCUUUCAAACUGCUAGGUGGGCAGGACCUGGGACCGAGCAACGGGAGCUCACCCCGUCGUGGGGAUUCGAACUGCUGACCUUUUGAUCAGCAAGCCAUAGGCUCAGUGGUUUAAACCACAGCGCCACCCGCUGCUUACUCCAAUGUAAAUCACACAGAAUUCAAUAAGGUAUUCAAAGUAUAUAUGCACAGGAUUGCAGCCAUAACUUAGGCCCCAUCUGCCCAAUACAUUUAAAGCACUCUUACACAAUUUUAACUGUCAUGGCUUCCCACCAAAGAAUCAUGGGAACAGUGGUUUGUUAAGGGAACUGGGAGUUGUUAGGAUACCCCCCCCCCAUCUCCAUCACAAUUCUCAGAGUCCUCUGGGAAGAGGGUUUGGUUGUUAACACUGCAAGGAGAUCUGAUAACUCUCAGCACCCUUAAACUGCAGUUUCUGGGAUUCUUUGAAGCCAUGAUUAUUACGAUUAAAGUAGUACAAGAAUGUUUUAAACAUAUGCCUUAGGCUUCAUGUGGAACAUAUAUCGCUAUUAUUAUUAUUAUUAUUAUUAUUAUUGAGAGUUCAGUCAGUAGAGCGUAAGACUCUUAAUCUCAGGGUCAUGAGUUCAAGAGAUACAGUGUUAUAAAUUUAAAAAUAUAAGAAACCGCAAAAUGAGUGGGGGGGGAGUGUCAAAAUACAUAUAAUUGUUGGGAAAUGUUGGAUUGUGUUUGUGUCAAAACAUUUCUGAAAAAAUGAAAAAUAAAAUUUAUUUUUAAAAGUGCCAGUUCUGCAGCUUGGAGAGGUUGUGAUCAGGUCUUAAACUGUUACAUAUAAAAAGGGGGAAAGUGAUGGAGUUACGGAUGCAAGCAAGGAGCCAUGAAGGCAAAUAUUGCAGCAUACCAUACAUACAGGCUUAAUGAUUAGUCUAAGACUCUAAGCCAAAGGUCACAUUUCUUGAAUUGCUUUGUUCACAAUUUCCCCAGAGGAGGAUCUGAAGGCUCAAAACACAGCUGUAAAUCUGAAGCUUUGCUCAUCUGGCCUUGCAAGCUGCCUAAUGUUUGCUGCAAUGAUGGCCCUACAGCCCUUCUCCAUGCUUCUGGAGAGCAGGGUGGUUGGGAAGCAGACCCUUCCUACCUAGGAGAAGGAUUGGGAGCAAGUAAGCAAGAGACAAACCUAUUAACUCUCUAAGCAGCUUUCUCCCUUAUGAAACCUGGAGGGGGACUGGGGGUAGAAUGCUGAAUAUUUAGAGAUUUAUGUGCAUGCAUGCAUGCAUGUUGUUGUUAAAUUGAAUUAUAUGUAAUUUAGCUCUUCAUUGUCUUUGUUGCUAAAGAUUCUUACAGGAGGCAAAAGUGGGGGCAGGUGGAGGAGAGAAGAGACAAACAGAUUAUCUGUUCAGCAUCUUGAUAGGCUUUAACUUAUUUACAAAGUUGCUUUACAGCCACAACAGUUUAAUUAAAUUAAUAUUCUGACUUAUUUACAGUAAGCAUUAUGAAUACAUGAUUACUUUCUCUCUCUUUUUCAAUGCUGAAUUUCUAAUCAGCUCACAUGUUCGUAAUUAAAGUAUGGCACUAAAAUACCAAUUUUUGAUGAGAGAAAAUACAGGAAAACAUACUUUGUUUUUCCUACCUCUUUAAUCUUUCAUAAUUUCCCCUUUGUGUUUUGAAUAUAUUAUACUGUGCAGGAUCUUUGAGAAGUGGGAAAAUUCUGUUCUAGAUUGGAAACCUAUUUUCUAUAUGGCAUUCUAGAGGAAAUUCAACUUUUAAAAUUUGCAUCAUAUCUUUACACGCCCCAGAAUUCAUCUGCCACUCAGUUGCAAAUCUAAGAGGGAGAAGAGACUUCUCUAAAAACUAGAUGGGUCCAGAUCUUGCCUUGGCUCAUGAGAGGUCACCACAAGCACCUGCCAGUCCUAUUGUGAAGCAGAGGGAGGCAGCUGCCUCGGGUGGCAAAUUCUGAGGGGUGGCUAAAAAGUUAUGCCACGUGGUCUGCCCGGCAGCCCCUAAAUUAGAUUGCUGCCCUAGCAUGGCUGGUGCACCAAGGAGGUGACUGAGGCAACCUGCCUCGGGAAGCAUGCUCCUUCCACCCCACCAAGGUGUGAGUCCAGAUCUGUGGUGGAGGGGAAGCUUCGGUGGCAAGUCUUCCAUCAGGCACCAAAGUGCCUCGGGUCUGACAUGCACUGUUGCAGAGAUGCAGAAAGCCCCACCAUUAAUGUCAGCUGAGAGCAGUGCUUUUUUCUUUAAAAUAUAUAUGUUUAGGGGUACUCUCAUUUUCCUCCUCAUAUAGAAAUACGUACCCCAGUGUGUCCCCCCAGAAAAAAAUUACUGGCUGAGAGCAUUUUCAACUUGAUACUCUUCCUCUCCAUAUCUCAGAGCACUUCUGCUCCUCAUAUAUGUGCAGCCAAAUAAAAUAGUCUGAAGAUGCCAAGUAAUUUUUCAUUACAGAUAUUACAAACAUAAUUCUAAUACGUGUAUAUAUGUAUUUGGUGAGGAGCUAUGCCAUCAUCCACCCUCCUGUGCUUUGUGGGCGGAAAGGUUUAAAGGGAAAUGCUUGUUGCUAGCAAAUGUAAAAUAAAAAUAAAUCUACUAUAUUGGUCUCACUUUAGCUUUUGGAAGCUGGAAUCUUGCCCUUUUAUACACACCCAAAAGCUGCUUUGCUGUGAAAUGGCAAAAUUCCACAAUAAAUCAAAUUCACAAAUCCGAACAAAGCAGAAAGAGGUGUUUUUUUCACAGCAAAAGCACAGAAUUGAUUUUGUGAUAUCAAAGCAAACUAUAUACAUUUCUCCAUUUAGGAAAAGGAAUAAACCCAAACUACAAUAUUACUGGGCAUGCUUAUACAUUAGACUUUUCACGCAUGUUCCCUAGGUGAAAUUAUAUGAAGCAGUUUAUUGGUGAGGCAGAGGGAGGGAUGAAAAGUACAGUGGUACCUUGGUAGUUGAAUGGCUUGGCUCCCAAACAAAUCAGCUGCCGAAUGCCGCAAACCCGGGAGUGUUCCAGUUUGCGAACAUUUUUCGGAGCUGAAUGUCCGACGUGGCUUCCGAUUGAAUGCAGGAAGCUCUUGAAGCCAAUCGGAAGCUGUGCCUUGGUUUUCAAAAUGUUUUGGGAGUCGAACAGACUCCCGGAACGGAUUAAGUUCAAUAACCAAGGUACCACUGUAUUUGCCUCUAAAUUUCAUCUUAAAUUGCAUUAUUUGGGUAGACUUUUCCUGGAAAAAUGACAUACAAAUAAUCACAAAAGGGAUUAUUUCAAUAGUUUUCCAUCAUAUCUACCUUUCUGUUGUGUUUUAUACUCAGCCCUCCCCCCAGAUUGAGGUUUCAGCCUCCCUGGCCACUGGAGGCAUCUUCAAGAUCAGACUUCUCCUGGGGUCCCUAUAAUCCACUAGGACCUGGGUGGGAUUCCUCAGAUUUCCUGAUCUCCUCCCACUCUUCCUUGUCACCUGCCCAUCCUCUGCAUGACAUCUCCAUGGGGCUUAGGACAGGAUCCAUCUCUGGAGGUCAACUGACAGCUUCUCCUGACCUUGAGGGGUGGAGGAAGGCUCAAACCAGGGCUUUUUUCCAGCAGGAACUUGCCAGAACUCAGUUCUGGUGCCUCUCAGGUGAGUGCCAUUGCUAUGCUAAGAGAAAGAGGGAGACGUUCAUGGUGAGUUCCAGCACCUCUUCUAGAAAAAUAGCAUUGGCUCUGUCCAGAGGCUUUAUGGCUAGAAUAGCCAAAUGUACAUGAUCUCACUCAGUGAAAAUAUGUGAGAAUAUUGUGUGUGAUGUCAGCUUUCCGUAGAUUAAAGAUGUGGGUUGAUAAUUAGUGAACUGUGAGGUGUAGGUGGAUUCCCACGAGGCAAGACACAGCGAUAACAGCAGGAACCUUUAUUGAACUAACAGAACUGGACAACCGGGCAAAGCAACUGCUUAUAUGCAUUUUUGAAGGUCUGGGUCACUCCCACUCCCAACGUGACUGGCUGUCUAAACUUCCAAACUGCGAAUCAUGACUCAGAGUUUAAGGGCCAAUGGCAGAGGCCCAAAUUCUGAAAUGUUCUUUGGACAGGAAAAUUGGCUUCCAGGUGGAAAGAUCCAAAUUAGAAACAGAAUUGUUAGAACCCAAUACUAAGAAUUUGUCAAGAAUGUAUAACUUGCUGCUGAAAUGGAAUAUUCAAGAUGAAACGGUAAAAUCGGCUAUGAUUAAAUGGGCACAGGACGUUGGUCAUAACAUUAUGUUUGCUGACUGGGAACAGUUAUGGACCACAGGUAUGAAAUUUACGGCAUGUAAUGCCUUAAGAGAGAAUAUUAUGAAAAUGAUAUACAGGUGGUACAUAACCCCAGUCAAGCUUGCGAAAAUCUAUCAUUUGCCUGAUAACAAAUGUUGGAAAUGUAAAGAAACUGAAGGUACAUUUUUCACCUUUGGUGGACGUGCCCAAAGAUUAAGUCUUUCUGGGAAUUGAUAUAUAAUUAAUUAAAAUAUGUAUUUAAUUAUACCUUCCCUAAGAAACCAGAGGCCUUUCUUCUGGGCAUAGUCGGCCAAAUGGUGUUAAAAAAGGAUAGAACUUUCUUUAUGUAUGCAACAACAGCAGCAAGAAUACUCAUCGCAAAGUAUUGGAAGACACAAGAACUUCCCACGCUGGAGGAAUGGCAGAUGAAACUUAUGGACUAUAUGGAAUUGGCGGAAAUGACUGGUAGAAUCCGUGACCAGGGAGAAGAGUCGAUGGAGGAAGACUGGAAGAAAUUCAAAGACUAUCUUCAGAAACACUGCAAAAUUAAGGAAUGUUAGAGUGAUGUUGGACUGAAAACAAGUGGUUUCCAGCUGCACAGGUUAAAGUUAAGGAUAGAUUAAGAUUAAAGAUUAAGAUUAAAGAAGUUUAAAGAAAUGGAAAUUUGAUUUUAAAAGGGAAAACUUUAAAGCUAUAUGAUAUUAAGAUCAAGGAUUAGGUUUAAAAAAGUUGAAGUUAUAUAUUUUAACAUUUUACUAAAUUAAAGAUUGGGAUUAAAAAGUAGAAAAGAAACUGCUGGACAAAUAAUGUGGAUUGGAAUACAAAGAGGGAGGUAUGAGGAAGUCCAGAAAAUAAGUAACUUAAAAUUGGAAAUGGAAAAGAGAGUUUGUUUUUAAUUGUUUUGUGUUUAUAUUGUUAAGUUUUGUAUUGUUUUUUGUGUGUGUUGUUUUUCUUUUUUUGUUGUUUAAAACUUUAAUAAAAAAAAUAUAAAAAAAAAACAAAUUCUGAAAUGUUCUGUGAUUGGGUAUCAUGUAUUGAAUCAGAACACAGGAGCUCAGAAUCCUUAGUCCAGACUCAAGCUCAGGCAAACACAGCUCACAGAAUACAUAACCAACUGGGUAUGCGGAACCUAUCCACUGGCCAUGUCAGAUUAAGGGCACUAAAUUCCAACCAUUUACAUGAUUAGAUGUCAUAUCUAACAGACACUUUGAUCCCCUAGUAUAGUGAGUAAAGUAAGUCAAUAUUACUCCUAUUAUUAAUAACAACAUUCACAGAAACAGAAUUUGAAAUCAUAUUAAGGCAUUGACAAAAAUUAACAAAAGCAAAAAGAAUUCAGAGUUUUGUCAAAUGCAGCUUCUCAAUUACUAUAUUGUACUGAGUUACAGCUUUCACAAGUCAAACCACUGAACGGCCUCAAAAAUAGCUUUUACUGAAGACUGGAGAGGCAGCCAUCAAAACAUGUUGUGUCUUCCUUGUAACAAAGAAUUCCUUGCAAUAUAAUAUUAUGUAUUCUAAUUUAGUUCACUUGAGAACUGUGCCACAUAGAGGUCUUUGACUUAUGAUUGGAAUAUCUGCUCUUAAAUUCUUAAAUUCUGGUUUGAAUAAUGAUACGCCAAGGUUCUCAUUAUUGCAACUUUUAAAACUAUUUCUGCAGCGCUGGAUGACACCUUUUAACCAGGGUAUUGGCUUUCUUUCAGCUUUCAUUGAUGGAGAUUUUACCAUAUGCUGGAAACAUUCCAGUUAGCAGCCACACACUUAUUGCCUGUCAUGAUCCAUGAUGGGUCUCAGAGUAUAAAUUAAUUUUCUGACAUAAGAGGCCAGCCACUUUGAUAUGAUCAGCUGCUGACACUGAUUGGCAGAUGGGAAACAGAUGCUUUGGCAGACUCAAAAUGUAACAUUUACUGAAAAAAGUGAGUGAUAAAAAAUCCUUUAAAUAUUGAAUGAAGGAAAAAGAACUUGCUUAAAACUUGCUGCACCAAAACCCACUAACUAAAGGCAGUGCUUUUUUUCUGGCAUUACCAGCACUGUUCUUUCCAGGAAAAAAUAACUGAUGACCCACAGAAGCGAUGUCCCUUCACUGCUGGAGAGCAGCAGCUCCUCCUCUGCUUUCCUCCCCAGAAGCAGCCUUUAGUGCGAGAGUCGCCAGACCCUGCAGAGCUCCACCUCCCAGCGGGCUCCGUGGGCUCCCUCGCCGCCUUUUCUGGAAGGGAGCAGAUUAUCGUUUGCAGCCCCAGGAAGAGCCAGUUGGUUGGUGGGAAGCUUUGACAGGUGUGUGAGAUGGCUCCCCCCCCCCCCCGCAACUGCAGCUUCCUCUCCCCCCAACUCAUUCCACUGCCCCCCCAGCAAGGUCUGGUUUAUUUGAGGAGCCCCCUCUGUCAUUGAGUUGAGGGGGAGAACUACAACUCAGCCCCCUUUUUGCAGAGGGGUAGAUGAGAUGGGGUCCCAGUUCCUCCCUCCCUUCAAAGACUAAAUCUAUUUCUCUUCUCUGUCUUAUAGUUUCACCUCUUUUCCCUCUGAAAUUCCUUUCAGUGGCAGAGCUUCAUGCUCUGGCACAGGGGCACGGAGAGCAGGCAGGGGCGGGGCUGGCGUGCGUACUGCCCACAGAGGCGUGGUGUGUGUCCUGAGGGCGGGGCAUGCCACCUGCAGGGGCAUGGCACCCAGCGCGGGCGGGGGGCAGCCACGAUGGCACCCUACUGGGAUCGCGCUGCCGGGGGCGGUGGGCUCCCCCCGCACUCCUCUUCCUCCGCCAGUGAUUCCCUUGAAACUUUCUCUCCUAAGGGGGGGGGCAUUCCACUUCCCCCGUUUUUCUUUAUUUCUUUUUUUGGGGGGUGUGGUUUUGCGUAUCUCCUUCCUUCCUGAAACCCCUUGGCCAGUCCUCUCCCUUUGCGUUGAGCCUUGCAAAGAAGGACUUGCUGCCAGCACAUGUGAGACAGGUGCCCUGAUGGCUUUCUUGGGGGGGGUGCUGCUUGAGCCCGGUGCUGCUCUCAGCAAAGGGAGCAGGGUGGAGGGAGGCAGGAAGGGAUGGGGGCCACACAGGCACAAGAUGGCCUCACUUGCACCUUUGCCUCCGGUUCCAGGGGCGGGAAGAGAGAGAGUUUUGUGCACACUCAGAAUUUCAUGUGCAUGAAAAAGAACCCCUGCUCUCCUAGCAUGCAAUGAGGAAAUAUUAUUUAUAAGAUGUGUUAGUCACUUUCUCUUGCCCAAAGCAACCCCAAGCGACAUACAACCAAAUUAGGAACUGACUAUAUAUAUAUAUGUUUAAGUAGUAAGUAUGGGUCAGCUGAUCUGUUGUUGUUGUUUAGUUGUUUAGUCGUGUCCACCUCUUUGUGACCCCCUGGACCAGAGCACGCCAGGCACUCCUGUCUUCCACUGCCUCCCACAGUUUGGUCAGACUCAUGUUUGUAGCUUCGAGGACACUGUCCAACCAUCUCGUCCUCUGUCGUCCCCUUCUCCUUCUGCCCUCCAUCUUUCCCAACAUCAGGGUCUAUUCCAGGGAGUCUUCUCUUCUCAUGAGGUCGCCAAAGUAUUGGAGUCUCAGCUUCAGGAUUUGUCCUUCCAGUGAGCACUCAGGGCUGAUUUCCUUCAGAAUAGAUAGGUUUGAUGUUCUUGCAAUCCAUGGGACUCUCAAGAGUCUCCUCCAGACCAUAAUUCAAAAGAAUCAAUUCUUCGGCAAUCAGCCUUCUUUAUGGUCCAGCUCUCACUUCCAUACAUCACUACUGGGAAAACCAUGGCUUUAACCCCCUUUUACCCCUUCAUGGACACUGCCUUGCUGUGGCGAAGGGGCUUGAAUAACUCAGAGAAGCUAUGAGCUAUGCCGUGCAGGGCCACCCAAGAUGAACAGGUCAUAGUGGACAGUUUUGACCAAACAUGAUCCACCUGGAGCAGGAACCGGCAAGCCACUCCAGUAUCCCUGCCAAGAAAACUCCAUGGACAAAGACAACAGGCCUCAGCUGAUCUACAAAUCACUAAAACAAUGACUUAGGGCAUGAGAAGAUGAGCUCACAUUUUCUGCCCUCAGAGAAUGCAAGGUCAGUUUGUUGACCGCCUCCUGCUUUCACGUCACCCUCUUUCAUCCGUUGUAAAUGUCAUGGACUGGUUGGGCAUAAAGUAAUGGUGGGAGGAACCAGCCGGGGAAUCCCAAAGAGAAGAAGGCUCAGAGCCUGAGGAAACAAUGGUGGGACAAUGAUGAGUGGUUGGAGGGAGAAGAGAGAGAAGAUUGGGAAGAGAAGGUGUUGGAUGCUGAAGAGGCAACAGGGCUUAGUAAGCGGGGAGAGACUGUGGCAGAGACAGCUCCAGAAUCGGAGGCAGAAGCUGAAGCAGGAGAGGAGGGAGGCCAAGAGGCAGAGAUGUCAAGCUAAUGAAGAGUCAUGGGUGUCUCCCCCUCCUGCUGUGACAAGCUCCCCUCCUCGCAUCUCCCAGAGGGCUGAAACAGGGGGAGCAGCAAAAACCUUCUUGCAGGCACAGUUUCUGAUUGCUUAGGAAAAAGCUCUGGAGACUGCUGUGCGAAGGUGGGGACUAUCAGUCUCUGGUUUUCAUGGCUUUUCAGCUAAGUCUGUGAUGAUCGUUUUUUUGCUAAUAAAAAGUUAACUCCAAUUUUGAACGGUAUGAUUACUGACUGGCAUGCUCCUGUGACCGUAGGUGUGUGUUUCUCUCCAUACGCAGGACUUUACCAGAAACAUGCUUGCACCUAAGUUUCUGGGUGUUCCCAGGGAGCGAGUCACCCAACAAAGGCCAUGACUGUAAGUGGAUAUGAAAACAGACAGGAAGACAUGGAAAUAACAUCGGUCCAGUCAAUAACCCGCCUUUCUUCCUCAUUCACCACUUGCCCUCUUCCAGCUUUCUGCCCUCCUAAGUUUGUUGAUUCCAGCCAUCCAAUGCAAUAUUUGUUCAGCUGGCAGACCUGGUUUAGAAGAGCUCUUCUAAGAAGAAAAGUGCAUGAUGCAGCCAAAAUUAAGCACAUUCCAUUCUCAUUUGUGGGAGAGAUUUAAGCAUACACUUCCAUUAAAACAGAAUUUUAAAGAGCCAGGUUAAAGAAUGUGCUUGCUUUUCCAGAAGGGAAAGAUGGACAACAGAGAACAACAUUGUGAUAUACAAAUGUUUAAUAUACAAAAGUGGGAAUGAUGGUGGAUGUACAUUUGCAGAGAUACUGCAUAGGUUGCAAUGGAUGUCUGAAUUUGGAUGAAUGUCAGUAUUCACAUGUGAAUAUUGACAAUCCCAGAAAACUCGAAUACAGCCUUGAAUGCCGACAAUCACCUAAAUGUCAGUGUCCACAUAUACAGUAUAGAUCCAAAAAAUAAGGAGAUAGGUGCCUUUGUAGGUGCAUUUAUAAAAUUUGACUUGUUAACAGUUACACGUGAGUGAAACAUUGGGGGGCAUCCUGCAAAAAAACAUGAUGUGAACUGUUUCAGUCUUCACUCUCAGGUACCUACCUAUCUUUUAUGGCCAUUGUAAGCAAUAUGCAUGUGCAUUAGAAAGAAGAUAACCAGAGAAUACAUUAAGUGUUGUCAACCACUUGUGGGAGUAGGAAGUCAGAUAACAAAUUCAAAGAGGCAGGUGAGUUUCAUUUGAUACAAGGCGGCACAGCAGGUAGUGCUGGGAGCAUCCACAAAUAUCUAUUUCCACACAAAACCUUAGCCUAAGGCAGGGAUGGAAAACUUUCUUCAUUUCUUUGGGGGAGGUGUGUUCCCUUGCUUGGAAUCUUCCAGGGUCCACAUCCGCGUGGCAGGCUGGCCAGAGACUUAAGUGGGCAAAGCAAUAGAUGUGACUCUUUCUUUUGUACAAUAAGCAACGUUCAUCUUUGUACCAGAGGUUAGAUGCCAAAGUCAGGUGUUUCAGACUCAAACUUAUACAUCUUCAACCAGGCAAACAGGAGGCAUUAUUAAAGUUCAGUGGUGCAUUCUGGUCAGGCAGAGGCAUCUGAGAAUGUGAAAAGGGGCUAGCAAGGGUCUGGCCUGGGGAGUGCUUAGGGCCAGACAGAACAGCCUAGAGGGCCACAUGGAGGCCCCCCAUUUCUGGUUUAAGGCUGCAAUAAGUCCAUUGUGUGGUUGAGAUUGGAUUCAGGGUUUUUCAAGUCAUCCGGGUCUCAUGCAGCCAAUAUAACAGCUGCAAAGAUAUUCUACUGGAGUAAUUUCAUUGCCAAGCAAACAGCAAUCCAUGAAACUGAAUGUUUAAGAUUGCCUGUCACCAUCACUUCUAGACUUCAGGAUGGGGGGUGGGCAGAGAGAAAAAUAUCCAACAUUUGCUCACACAUUAUUAUGCAAAAAUAGAGUAGGGACAGAAGCUUUAGAAUAUUGUAGAAUGGAUAUUGUGCCACAACAUCAUAGGACUACUUGAUGGCAUUUCUCAGAAAAAAAUUGUUUUCAUCUGUUUCCUUGGGAUUUCUGGGGAACCAAUAAAUAUUAAAUAAGCUAUUUUCUGAUUUUGUUCCCCUUCUCUGCCUCACUUGCCUCACUAGGUCUAUAUAGUGCCUCCUUGUCUAUUUUUGUGUGUCUUUUAAUAACUAUUUUUUUCUUUCCAAAAAGCUUCCUUUGUAAUGCAAAUGGAUUCCAGUACAAAAACCACCUCUUUCUAUAUUCUCAAAGUCAUCUUGUCAUUUCAUAUACUGUCGUUUAUGGACAGAUUCACCCAUGUGAAUACAUCCUGUCCUGUUUUUGUAGCCAGAGUUUCUGAGAGAAACACAGAGAGAGAGAGAGAUCAUAAGAAAGAAAACUACUGCUCCAUUUUGAUAAUAGAGUGUCUCCAUGGAGUCUUGUGCAAUAAUGCCCCGUCCCCCCCGCAAAUAAAAUUCUCUCACACACACAAAUACACAGACUUGGUUGUCCUCUGUGGUUGUAUCUUUUAAAUGUAGAAUUUUGCUUUCUUUGGGAGAAAAGAACAUUUUAUCAUAAGCUUCACUAACAUGUCUCAAAAAUUUCUUAGAAUGAGAAUGUAGAAGUUGCUGGUGUCUACUUUAAGUAAGCAUAAAAUAAAAGAACAGUCUGACUAAUUUGGACCAAAGUCCCACUUACUUCAGAAUCCUGCCUGCAGUAGUCAGUUGCCUCUGGAAAGUACACAAGCAGGAGAAGUAGCAAGUGCGCACCUGCUUUUAUUUGAACAAGACAUAGAAUGCUCCUUCUGAACACAGACGUUCCAUUUAACUAUUGUGGCUAUGCAUGCAAUUGUGUGUGGGCAUAGACUAUGAUUUUGUGUCUAAUCCACUAAAGGCCAUCACCAGUUCCUGUGAGAGGGAGUUAUCAGUGAUGUGUUGUGUGAAUAAGCCCGCCCUCAGCACCAUUGGCUGACACCACUGGUUACAACCCACUGGACCCAGAACUCUCCCAUCUGGUAGCAAGGGAGCCGCAGCAUUCCUAAAAACUAUGGUUGGCAUUCACAGCAGAUUUCAACACAUUCUCUCUCUCUCUCUCUCUCUCUCUAUAUAUAUAUAUAGUUGCACAUCUUUUUUCCUUCUAGCAAAUUUGUACCACCACUAUAUUUAUUUAGAUUAAGAUUUUCUCAUACCUCACUUUCCCCCUCCCCUCAAAGCAGCUAACAGAGUCCAAGUGUGGCAUUUGCCUAUUCUGUUAGAAAUGUCUGUACAGGGGGAGAGAAAGAGUUAAUAGGUAGACCAAUAGAAAAGCCAGAGGCGGAGACUACCUGUUUAUAAAAGGGCUUAGCCCAAGGUUUAGUUACUUGAUAGUUGGUUGGGAAGAAACGGUUGUAAUCAUUAAGUUGUAAUCAUUCAACUUGUUUUUAUUAUUGCUUGUAAGCUGCUCUGAGCCUGGCCUUGGCUGGGGAGGGCGGGGUAUAAAUAAAAAUUAUGAUGAUGAUGAUGAUCAUAGAAUAGAAUCAUAGAAUCAUAGAAUCAUAGAGUUGGAAGAGACCACAAGGGCCAUCAAGUCCAACCCCCUGCCAAGCAGGAAACACCAUCAGAGCACUCCUGACAUAUGGUUGUCAAGCCUCUGCUUAAAGACCUCCAAAGAAGGAGACUCCACCACACUCCUUGGCAGCAAAUUCCACUGUCGAACAGCUCUUACUGUCAGGAAGUUCUUCCUAAUGUUUAGGUGGAAUCUUCUUUCUUGUAGUUUGGAUCCAUUGCUCCGUGUCCGCUUCUCUGGAACAGCAGAAAACAACCUUUCUCCCUCCUCUAUGUGACAUCCUUUGAUAUAUUUGAACAUGGCUAUCAUAUCACCCCUUAACCUCCUCUUCUCCAGGCUAAACAUGCCCAGCUCCCUUAGCCGUUCCUCCUAAGGCAUCGUUUCCAGGCCUUUGACCAUUUUGGUCACCUUUGACCAUUUGACCAUUUUGAUGUCACCUUUCAUCUGAGGAUCACAGGGCAGUUCAUAACAUAUAGGCGGAAAUCAGCCCCUGUCACAGCUUCCAAGCCAGCAUUAGCAGCGCACAGGGUUCGGCAGCUGGCAGCAGCAAAAAAAAGAAGAAGCCUAACAGGGUGCAGUCGACUCAAUUUUAGCACAUUUGGAUGCCUUGGAGGCAGGUACCAGCUCAGCUUCACAGGAAAUGCCAGCUGUGGAUGUCAAUUUGUUGUUGUUUAGUCGUUUAGUCGUGUCCGACUCUUCGUGACCCCAUGGACCAGAGCACGCCAGGCAUUCCUGUCUUCCACUGCCUCCCGCAGUUUGGUCAGGCUCAUGUUUGUAGCUUUGAGAACACUGUCCAACCAUCUCGUCCUCUGUCAUCCCCUUCUCCUUGUGCCCUCCAUCUUUCCCAACAUCACGGUCUUUUCCAGGGAGUCUUCUCUUCUCAUGAGGUGGCCAAAGUCUUGGAGCCUCAACUUCAGGAUCUGUCCUUCCAGUGAGCACUCAGGGCUGAUUUCCUUCAGAAUGGAUACGUUUGGUCUUUUUGCAGUCCAUGGGACUCUCAAGAGUCUCCUCCCGCACCAUAAUUCAGAAGCAUCAAUUCUUCGGCGAUCAGCCUUCUUGAUGCUCCAGCUCUCACUUCCAUACAUCACUACUGGGAAAACCAUGGCUUUAACUAUACGGACCUUUGUUGGCAAGGUGAUGUCUCUGCUUUUUAAGAUGCUGUCUAGGUUUGCCAUCGCCUUUCUCCCAAGAAGCAGGCGUCUUUUAAUUUAAAGUAAAAUCUCUCACUGCCUCCAUUUCUUCCCCUUCUAUUUGCCAGGAGGUGAUGGGCCCAGUGGCCAUGAUCUUCAUUUUUUUGAUGUUGAGCUUCAGACCAUAUUUUGCGCUCUCCUCUUUCACCCUCAUUAAAAGGUUCUUUAAUUCCUCCUCACUUUCUGCCAUCAAGGUUGUGUCAUGUGCAUAUCUGAGGUUGUUGAUAUUUCUUCCGGCAAUCUUAAUUCCGGUUUGGGAUUCAUCCAGCCCAGCCUUUCGCAUGAUGAAUUCUGCAUAUAAGUUAAAUAAGCAGGGAGACAAUAUACAGCCUUGUUGUACUCCUUUCCCAAUUUUGAACCAAUCAGUUGUUCCAUAUCCAGUUCUAACUCUAGCUUCUUGUCCCACAUAGAGAUUUCUCAGGAGACAGACGAGGUGAUCAGGCACUCCCAUUUCUUUAAGAACUUGCCAAAGUUUGCUGUGGUCGACACAGUCAAAGGCUUUUGCAUAGUCAAUGAAGCAGAAGUAGAUGUCUUUCUGGAACUCUCUAGCUUUCUCCAUAAUCCAGAGCAUGUUUGCAAUUUGGUCUCUGGUUCCUCUGCCCCUUCGAAAUCCAGCUUGCACUUCUGGGAGUUCUCGGUCCACAUACUGGAUGUCAAUAGGGAAGUUUGUCUCCCAGUUCAGAGCUGGUGAGGUAAAGUCACCUGCCAUGAAGGCAUUGUGGUUGGUGGGGUUGAACUGUAUAGGUCAGGGGGAGUCCAUGUGAAAGUUGUCAGCACUGACCUCUUCCUACUGACCUGCAGAGGGUGUGCAAGAGCACCUCUUGGGGUGGGCAAAGAGAUUUGUCCCCUUUCAGUGGCAGUUCAGGUGUGGGAAAAGAAAUAGUUUGGUUUAGCCUGGUGACAUACUUUAGGCACCUUUCAGGUGAUGAGUCGACCCCAAGGCUCACUUCUCAAACUCUGUGGUUCAGAGGGUGAGAUAGGGGCCUCCUUUGAGGCCAAAUUCCCUCAUCCACCUGGGGUUCUGCGGUCCGGGGUUGGGGUGGUAAGGCCUCCCUUCUCACCUUAAAGAUGUGGCCCAUGAAUCAGGGCAGGUUGCUCAGUGGCUAUUGUUAUAUAGUUAAGUUAGUUCCUGUACCUUAGUCACCCAGCUCUGCUGAAUUUAAGGCCAAAAUAAAAGUGGCCCAGUUCAACCGCAGCUUAUGUGUCUGUCUCUUUAUUUGCCUGUUGGGAUGCAAAGGAUUCACUGUAAAGUUUUGUGUAUUGCUCUGUGAUUUGUCCCAAGCUACCCUCAACUGUCUUGUAUGGGUGAACAUGUGAAUAGUACGUAGAGGCAAGAUUUAUUAAUGGCACAUUUUAGCUAAUGGCUGAAUGCUGAGGUUGCCCCAAUGUCCUCACAAUCAGGGCUGAACUCACUUUGAUGUAAUAUCUGCUGAACUUUGGGUUCACUUCUUUCUUCUGCCUUGAGGUAGAAAAGAUAUAUUCAGAGACAAUAGUUUUUGUGUAUAUAUAUAUAUAUGUAUGUAUAUGUGUGUGUGUGUGUGUGUGUAUACAGUGGUACCUCAGGUUACAUACGCUUCAGGUUACAUACGCUUCAGGUUACAGACUCCAUUAACCCAGAAAUAUUACUUCGGGUUAAGAACUUUGCUUCAGGAUGAGAACAGAAAUUGUGCUCCAGCGGCGCGGCAGCAGCGGGAGGCCCCAUUAGCUAAAGUGAUGCUUCAGGUUAAGAACAGUUUCAGGUUAAGAACGGACCUCCGGAACGAAUUAAGUACUUAACCCGAGGUACCACUGUAUAUGGAUCUUGCGUUCCAUGAUAUCAUUGUACCAUAUGCAGCAAGGCACAGUUCAGACAGACUAAUAAUAUGUUCUCAGAAUUAGAAAAAAACAACAACAUUUAAUAGAUACAAUUGUGUGUGCAUUUUUGGUAUGCCUACAUAAUUAUUAUCAGGAGAAGAGUAUUCUCUAUUUACAGGGUUUCUCACACCUUGAACUUUGGGUCUCCUGUGAAACUUAAUCAGUGUGCAGUGGUUCACAACAGAUAAAUCAAGAAAAAAAGAGGUUCACAACAUGGAAAGCAAGUAAAAUCAAUUUUAAAUAUCUGAAAGAAUAAUUAAGGCUUUAUUGCAGUAACUGCAGCAGCCAAACCAGAAAAAAAUCAAAGUAGCAAUAGUCAGGGAAUGCCAGGAUAGACAGGUAGGUUCUCAGCCAUCUAUAGAACCACAAUACCUGAUCUCCACUGACAGUUCAUUCCACAUAGUGGGAGCCACAGUGGAGAAGGCCAUCUACACAGUGGAGGACACCAUCUACAGACUGCACUGACCUUGGCAGACAAUAUGAGGAUAGGCAGUCGUAGAGAACCUGGUCCCAAACUAUUUAGGACUUUGUAGAUCCAAACCAACACCUUAACCUUGGCUUGGUAGCUAAUGUGCAGCCACUGCAGAACCUUCAUCACCAGGUCUGCAUGUGUCCAGCCUUCUGAGUCACACAAGGCUUCUCCUAUCAUUGCAUGGGUCCUAGUAACUAGGCUCUGCCUGUCCAAGAAAGGUUGUAGCAGGCAACCCCACUGAAGCUGGCACAACUUAAUGCACAGUUCACAUGGGCCUCCAACAACAAAGAGCUAGGACUGCUCUCAGACAAGGCACCUGGCUUUCAGGUGCAGUCAGCGGGUGAACUGCCCAAUUCCCAGGCACAGGAACUUUCCACCCACAGUGCUUCUGACUUAUCAGGAUUCACUUACAUGAUUGCAGGCUAAAUUGUCAUUAUCCAGAUACACCAUAUCUGGUAUAACACCAUAAACCCUUCCAGCUGACGUAGCAUUUGACCAAGAAAACAAUGCAGCUUGCUCCAGCUCUAUUCCAGGUGGUCCAAUGCAUGGCCUAAGGGCUGCGCUUUGGAAGCCCUCAGCAGCAUUUGAUGCCCCCUCAGGUCUCACACUGCCAUCCCAAAGCCAGAGAAGGAGGCACUGGGCUUUGGGAAGGCAGUGUGAGAGCUCUGACAAGGUCCUAGAGUCCUCCCACAUCUUUCCCAGUUGCCUAGUUAGCACUUUCCCAGCUUUGGGAAGGAGACAGGAGGACUCUCAGACCCUUCCAGAGCCUCACAAUGCAGGCACCUCAGCUAAAGCAUCCAUGACAUAUGGCCAUCCAACCUCUGCUUGUCUUUUCCAUUACUAGAGUUGAAGCAACACCCCACAAGUCAUACUGGGAACCCUCACAAAGCCUCUAUUUCUGUGUUUUUCUAGGUCCACAGGCUUUGCAAGAAGUCAUGCUGUCCCAAAUAUGUUUCCAAGUACAAUUCAAAGUGUUGGUGUUGAUCUUUAAAGCCCUAAAUGGCCUCGGUCCAGUAUACCUAGAAUCAUAGAAUCAUAGAAUCAUAGAGUUGGAAGAGACCACAAGGGCCAUCAAGUCCAACCCCCUGCCAUGCAGGAAACACCAUCAGAGCACUCCUGACAUAUGGUUGUCAAGCCUCUGCUUAAAGACCUCCAAAGGAGACUCCACCACACUCCUUGGCAGCAAAUUCCACUGUCAAACAGCUCUUACUGUCAGGAAGUUCUUCCUAAUGUUUAGGUGGAAUCUUCUUUCUUGUAGUUUGGAUCCAUUGCUCCGUGUCCGCUUCUCUGGAGCAGCAGAAAACAACCUUUCUCCCUCCUCUAUGUGACAUCCUUUUAUAUAUUUGAACAUGGCUAUCAUAUCACCCCUUAACCUCCUCUUCUCCAGGCUAAACAUGCCCAGCUCCCUUAGCCGUUCCUCAUAAGGCAUCGUUUCCAGGCCUUUGACCAUUUUGGAUGCCCUCCUCUGGACACGUUCCAGUGUCCUUCUUGAACUGUGGUGCCCAGAACUGGACACAGUACUCCAGGUGAGGUCUGACCAGAGCAGAAUACAGUGGCACUAUUACUUCCCUCGAUCUAGAUGCUAUACUCCUAUUGAUGCAGCCCAGAAUUGCAUUGGCUUUUUAGCUGCCGCGUCACACUGUUGGCUCAUGUCAAGUUUGUGGUCAACCAAGACUCCUAGAUCCUUUUCACAUGUACUGCUCUCAAGCCAGGUGUCCCCCAUCUUGUAUUUGUGCCUCUCAUUUUUUUUGCCCAAGUGCAAUACUUUACAUUUCUCCCUGUUAAAAUUCAUCUUGUUUGUUUUGGCCCAGUUCUCUAAUCUGUCAAGGUCGUUUUGAAGUGUGAUCGUGUCCUCUGGGCUGUUAGCCACCCCUCCCAAUUUGGUGUCAUCUGCAAAUUUGAUCAGGAUGCCCUUGAGUCCAUCAUCCAAGUCGUUGAUAAAGAUGUUGAAUAAGACCGGGCCCAAGACAGAACCCUGUGGCACCCCACUAGUCACUCUUCUCCAGGAUGAAGAGGAACCAUUGAUGAGCACCCUUUGGGUUUGGUCAGUCAGCCAGUUACAAAUCCACUGAGUGGUAGCAUAGUCAAGACCGCAUUUUACCAGCUUCUUUACAAGAAUAUCAUGAGGCACCUUGUCAAAUGCCUUGCUGAAAUCAAGGUAGGCUACAUCCACUGCGUUCCCUUCAUCUACCAGGCUUGUAAUUCUGUCAAAAACGAGAUCAGGUUAGUCUGACAUGACUUAUUUUUCAGAAAUCCAUGCUGACUAUUGGUGAUCACAGCAUUCCUUUCUAGGUGCUCACAGACUGUUUGCUUAAUGAUCUGCUCCAGAAUCUUCCCUGGUAUUGAUGUCAGACUGACUGGGCGGUAAUUAUUUGGGUCCUCUCUUUUCCCCUUUUUGAAAAUAGGGACAACAUUUGCCCUCCUCCAGUCUGCCGGGACUUCGCCUGAAGGAGCAUCUCUACCCCCAUUGUUCUGCCCGGACCCUGGGGUCCACCACCGAGGGCCUUCUGGUGAUUCCCUCACUGCGAGAAGCAAAGCUACAGGGAACCAGGCAGAGGGCCGUCUCGGUUGUGGCACCCACCCUGUGGAACGCCCUCCCACCAGAUGUCGAGGAAAUAAACAACCAGCUGACUUUUAGAAGACACCUGAAGGCAGCCUUGUUUAUGGAAGUUUUUAAUGUUUGAUGUUUUAUUGUGCUUUUAAUUCUGUUGGGAACCGCCCAGAGUGGCUGGGGAAACCCAGCCAGAUGGGCGGGGUAUAAAUAAUAAUUAUUAUUAUUACUGUAAAGUGUUGAAGUUUUUUCCCCUUUGUUUUUUAUUAAAGAACAGCAGCAAAGGUGGUGGUGGUGAUUUUUUUUUUUUAGCACCAUUUAAAUACAUUCCUACUACCAAUGAUUCUUGCCUCUGAAGCCCACCUGCCUAAUGAAGUAACCUUUCCUGGUAUCUGUUGGGAUGCUGCACCCCAGAAAAGUCAUCUGACAGGUCUAUAUUUAUAGAUGAUUUUGUUCUUUAAAAAGAAGAAAUGAGAAUUUUAUGUAUUUUUAAAGGUUUCUGUAAGUGUUGUACAGUAUAUAAAAGUGUGAUAUGUGUAUAUUGAUAUUUUGGUUUUUAUUUUAAUGGAAUUACAUCAAUAUUUAAUAAGAGAUAGAAAACGACACAAAUGAAUCCAUUUAUUGGUGGCAAAUGUCUUGGAAAUGCCUGCAUGAAACUGAAUACACAGGGGACAUAAGAAUUCAUGGUGCUCACGUGAAUGGCAUUGCCGUUGCCCUAGUUAUUCUUUGCUGCUUUGUUUUACCAAGUGUGUGAGAGAAAAUUUGGGGAAAUGUGUAACAGAGGGAACACGCAGGACAGGGGGAGGAGGCAAUGGUAGUUUUGCCAAUAAUUUUUACUUUGGUGCCUUCUGUUGCUGAACAGAAGCCGUAUGUACAGAACUGCUCACUUUCUCUACCUCUAGAACAGAAAGAUUUGCAAUGAAAAUGAAUACUAAAAUGGUGCAUUGCAUUACUCUGUUAGACUGUCUGAUUUUUAUAGAUUUCAAGAUAAGAGCUGGAUUUUCCUUGAUUUGUCCUCAUCGGUAAGCCAAAACAAUUAAGAAAAAUCUGAGAGAAAUUUUGAAAUGAAAGACACACUUUUAAACUUUAUUAAGAUAUUGCAAAUGCCAUCUAUGUUAUUGUGUUUAUAAAGUCAUUCAAAAGCCUCAUGCAGGCCCAAUUUAGAUGUGUGUAUUUCUAAAUGGCCUUUUCUACAACAAAAUACACAAGCAACUGGGUGCGUUUUUCUGAGCGCUGUAGAUAAUUAAUCUCAUUUUCCCUGUGCUUCAGUUUGUGUUCUGUUAGUUUUCUUAUUCAAACUUUUGACUCACAAAUCUAAUUUGAAGCCUCUUUAACUGACCUAUGUGGUAAUGUGUUUCAUCUGCAUGUGACGUUUAGCAGUGAGCAAUAAGGCCAGCAUACUAAUUUGCUCCUUGGUGGAUGCAAUUUUUGGUGUACAAACAUCACCUGUGCUCAACACUUCUGCACUACAGAAAGUGCCCAACCCCUCCCCAGAAGAGAUGGAUGUCUUAAAAGGCAGAUAGGAGAGUGAUGUGUGAGAGAGGCGGCAGUGAUAAACAGGGCCUGUUAGAAAAGCCCUGGUCUAGAUGGUGCCACAGAGGGAAAGCUGAGUAUGGACUGCACCAUUACAGUAGGCAGGGCAAAACUGACAGGGUUCUACCUCUGGUCUCUCACAAACAGGAGGACACCAGCUUUCUUUGGAACAACAGUUAAGGAUGCCAUGGGAUAGUCAGGAAGCAAGGGAACCCAGUAAGGCUGCCCAAUGAUUUGUGAAAGGAUAGAAAGGGCUUCACCAAAACCCGACAAAACAACUGGCAAAGCUCAUCCAUGAGAAUUUCCCUCCUUUUUGAUGAUUUUAAAUGUCAUUUAUUUUCUCAUUAGCUGAUAGAGAAUUGUGAACUGCCCUGAGACCUGCAGGUAUAGGGCAGUAUACAAAUCAAAUAAGUAAUAAUAAUUAUUUGGGGGGGGGGUUAGAAAAUUUUGGAACAGCAUCAGUACAGGAUUAAACCGAAUGUUUAUGAUGUGUAUGAUGCAAGCAGUAGUCCAUUAAGUGCCAGGUAUGAAGGGGGCUUUACUCCUCAGAUAGAUUGGGGAGGGAAUGGUGGGCUUCUUAAAGCUGUAAUGGAGACUUGACAAGGGAGGACCCCUUUAUUAGAGCACAUGCAAGAUAUACAACCGCUGAGAGGAUGAUUUCUUAUUCCUGCAACACAACAAAUGAACAUCUGAAUCAGACCAGUUCUACAAAGCUGCCUGUUUAGUUUUGCAGUAUGAAUACAGUAUAUAUCCAGGAAGAAGAGCAGGGAAAGAAAGGAAAACGGCAGGGAAUACAAGAUGUCGGAAUCCUGGCAGCACCUGCAGUUAUUAAUAUAUUAUUUUGAACGAAAUGUCAUUACUAUUUUAUUUAAAAUUAAUGCAAUUCACCAGACCAUAAAGAAGGUCCUUUAGAAUAAAUGGCGGCUUUCCAAGCACAGCUACUGGGCUGCUGAUUACAAUGGAUUCUGACAUUUUUGACAGUUUUAUAAUUCUCAUAUUCUGUUCGUAGCUAUGCUCUGAAGUGUGUCUGCUUUGCUGAAUUCUUCCUCCUGGGGCAUGGCGCUAAAGUUUGGUGAACUGAAAGGACAAUAAAGCAGUUUGAUAGGCAAAAACAGAAAAUUACUGUGCUAUACAAAGUUGCUUGUUUGAUGACUCCAGGAAAAUUAGCAUCCACAGUUUUAAAAACAAAUGUCACUUAAAAAAAACCCCACACCUUUAAAUGAGCAGUUAGCUAUAAAAGACACCCAUUGGUUCAAAAGGUGAGGUCACCAUCUCACAACAAGGCAUGGAGCUGGUCAGGAAAUGAUCGUGGAAGCCAUUUUUGAGGGGGUUUGUUGUCGUUUUCCCCCCAACUGAAUAGGAAAGUAAAUAAUGAACUGUGCUCAUCACAACUGAUGCUUUAAGCCGGUAUGUUUAUGGGAUGUACAGUAAUUCCCUUCUUUGUUACAAUCCACAUUAACUUAGAAAUGUGGUAGAGGAGGAGACGUCCAUUAGCCGUGGGGAGGAUUUCCCUAGCUCUCACUUGCAAAGGCUUAUUCUGGCAGAAAACGUAGUUCCGCCUCCAUACCUAGAAGGCAUCUCUAGAAGGCACUGAAUAACACCCAGCUGUUUCCCAUCUGCAAGGACUUGUGCAUUCCACUCAAGCUAAUGCAUUCAGACAUUCAAGCCACAUGGGGUGUGGGGGGGGACAGGGGUACUGUCCUUACCCCCCAACAUCUCCAUCCCAUGUGCUCUAUCCUUUUCAACAGGCCUUAUAGGUGCCGGCAUGCUGAAAAUGCAAAGUUCCCAAUCAUGCAGAGGCUUAUGUGUAUUGAGCUGAAUGCAGUUGGAAGUCCCCUGUAGACCUUCAUGCUCGAUGUGCAAAGUUCUCCCGUGGGGAUAAGGUAGAAGCUCCAGGUAGUUCAGCAUCAGGCAAGGCACACUAAGUGGUUGGCAGCAAGGAUCUGCAUGACCAUGAAUAUGCAGACAAUCUCACAAAGUCAACCGUCAUCUUCGUAACUACGGGGGAGUAUUUUCACCAUAUUUUCAGCCACGAAUGUUUACCGCUGCCUUUCUCCCAGUGCAGCUCCAUUGUCCACUAAACCUUCGUGAACUUUUAUUUGAGCUGCUGUAUAAUUCUUUUUAAAAUGAUCUUCUUCAUCAAUGUGCACACAUCUCUUCCCAUGCUUUGCAGCCUCAAACGAGUCUAAUUCCGGCAAUCUUUUACAAGAUAUAUAACAUCAAGCUCUUGAUAAAAACUCACUCCUUUUUCAGGGGUCCUUGGUUCAUCCCCCUUCUGCUGGCCAGCUUUUGGUAUAUAUUGCUUCUGGCAGUGCAAUCCUAAUUCUCAGUGAAGAAUGGAAUUGUCAACUGAGGCAACGGGGGUCACAACAUCAAGGAGUGAAGACGGCUUGGCCAGCAUCCUUGUCAACUGAAAGCAUUUUGCAUCAAUGAUCAGCAUUAAGCCAAUGGGGGGGUGGCUUUUGCUUUUAAAAAGUGUGACAAAUCAAAAUCAGUCUAGAGGAGAACACAAAAAAAUCUAAAUCUGCCAUCUAUUUUCCCCAAAGCAGAAUUAAAAGGGCACUUUGGGGAGAACUGGGGUGUUGAAAUAUACUCAGAGUCAAAUGUGAAUUUCAUGCUCUUUAUUCAGCUCAUAGUAGCAAUGAAUGAAGUUUUCCCCAAAACGUCUAGCUAUAUAUACAUUAUUUACACAAUGGGCCCUGCAUGAUUGGCUAAUUCCAGGCUGCUCUUGUAGGUCAAAGAAUCAUAGAAUCAUAGAGUUGGAAGAGACCACAAGGGCCAUCGAGUCCAACCCCCUGGCAAGCAAGAAACACCAUCAGAGCACUCCAGACAUGUGGUUGUCAAGCCUCUGCUUAAAGACCUCCAAAGAAGGAGACUCCACCAUACUCCUUGGCAGCAAAUUCCACUGUCAAACAGCUCUUACUGUCAGGAAGUUCUUCCUAAUGAUUAGGUGGAAUCUUCUUUCUUGUAGUUUAGAUCCAUUGCUCCGUGUCCGCUUCUCUGGAGCAGCAGAAAACAACCUUUCUCCCUCCUCUAUGUGACAUCCUUUUAUAUAUUUGAACAUGGCUAUCAUAUCACCCCUUAACCUCCUCUUCUCCAGGCUAAACAUGCCCAGCUCCCUUAGCCGUUCCUCAUAAGGCAUCGUUUCCAGGCCUUUGACCAUUUUGGUUGCCCUCCUCUGGACACGUUCCAGUUUGUCAGUGUCCUUCUUGAACUGUGGUGCCCAGAACUGGACCCAGUACUCCAGGUGAGGUCUGACCAGAGCAGAAUACAGUGGCACUAUUACUUCCCUUGAUCUAGAUGCUAUACUCCUAUUGAUGCAGCCCAGAAUUGCAUUGGCUUUUUAGCUGCCGCAUCACACUGUUGGCUCAUGUCAAGUUUGUGGUCAACCAAGACUCCUAGAUCCUUUUCACAUGUACUGCUCUCAAGCCAGGUGUCCCCCAUCUUGUAUUUGUGCCUCUCAUUUUUUUUGCCCAAGUGCAAUACUUUACAUUUCUCCCUGUUCAAAUUCAUCUUGUGUGUUUUGGUCCAGUUCUCUAAUCUGUCAAGGUCGUUUUGAAGUGUGAUCCUGUCCUCUGGGGUGUUAGCCACCCCUCCCAGUUUGGUGUCAUCUGCAAAUUUGAUCAGGAUGCCCUUGAGUCCAUCAUCCAAGUCGUUGAUAAAGAUGUUGAAUAAGACCGGGCCCAAGACAGAACCCUGUGGCACCCCACUAGUCACUCUUCUCCAGGAUGAAGAGGAACCAUUGAUGAGCACCCUUUGGGUUCGGUCAGUCAGCCAGUUACAAAUCCACUGAGUGGUAGCAUAGUCAAGACCGCAUUUUACCAGCUUCUUUACAAGAAUAUCAUGGGGCACCUUGUCAAAUGCCUUGCUGAAAUCAAGGUAGGCUACAUCCACUGCGUUCCCUUCAUCUACCAGGCUUGUAAUUCUGUCAAAAACGAGAUCAGGUUAGUCUGACAUGACUUAUUUUUCAGAAAUCCAUGCUGACUAUUGGUGAUCACAGCAUUCCUUUCUAGGUGCUCACAGACUGUUUGCUUAAUGAUCUGCUCCAGAAUCUUCCCUGGUAUUGAUGUCAGACUGACUGGGCGGUAAUUAUUUGGGUCCUCUCUUUUCCCCUUUUUGAAAAUAGGGACAACAUUUGCCCUCCUCCAGUCUGCCGGGACUUCGCCUGUUCUCCAGGAAUUCUCAAAGAUGACUGCCACUGGUUCUGAGAUCACAUCUGCCAGUUUUUUUAAUACUCUUGGAUGCAGUUCAUCUGGCCCUGGAGACUUGAAUACAUCUAAAUUAGCCAAGUAUUCUUGUACUAUCUCCUUAGUUAUUCUGGGCUGUGUUUCCUCUGCUGAAUCAUUUGCUCCAAAUUCUUCAGGUCGGGCAUUGUUUUCUUUAUCGGAGAAGACUGAGGCAAAGAAGGCAUUGAGGAGUUCAGCCCUUUCUGUGUCCCCUGUUUGCAUUUCACCAUCUUCUCCUCUGAGUGACCCCACUGUUUCUUUGUUCUUCCUUUUGCUACGAACAUACCCAUAAAAGCCUUUUUUGUUGCUUUUAACCUCUCUAACAAGCCUGAGUUCAUUCUGUGCUUUAGCUUUUCUGACUUUGUGUCUACAUGUGCUGGCUAUUUGUUUGAAUUCCUCUUUGGUGGUUUCCCCCUUUUCCAUUUUUGUACACAUCCUUUUUAAUCUUAACUCAGUUAAAAGUUCUUUAGAUAGCCACCCUGGCUUCUUUAGGCACCUUCCAUGUUUCCGUCUCAUUGGUAUUGCCUGACGUUGUGCUUUUAGUAUCUCCCUCUUAACAAACUCCCAGCCAUCAUGAACUCCCUUUCCUUUUAGUAUUACUGUCCAUGGGAUCUCACCCAGCACUUCCCUAAGUUUUAUGAAGUCGGCUUUCUUAAAGUCAAGAAAUUGAGUCCUAGUAUGCUUGGCUGCUCCUUUCCGCUGUAUAGUAAACUUCAGAAGAGCAUGAUCACUCGCGCCUAAUGAUCCUUCCACUUCUACCCCACUAACCAGGUCAUCAACAUUGGUUAGGACCAGAUCUAAAAUGGCUGUUCCUCUUGUUGCUUCUCCCACUUUCUGGACAAUGAAGUUGUCUGCAAGGCCAGAGAGGAAUCUGUUUGACCUUAUGCUCUUGGCUGAGUUUGACAUCCAACAAAUAUCCAGGUAAUUGAAGUCCCCCAUUACUACUAUCUCCCUUCCUUUUGCAUGCUUGGCCAUCUGUUCCAGGAAGGCAUCAUCUAUGUCCUCCGUUUGGCUUGGGGAUCUAUGGUAAACUCCCACAAUGAGGUCACUGUUAUUCUUCUCGCCCUUAAUUUUGACCCAAAUGCUCUCACUUUGGCUUUGAGGUUCUAAAUCUUGGAUCUCUUCACAGGUAUACACAUCCCUGACAUAUAACACCACUCCUCCUCCUUUCUUGUCUGGUCUGUUUCUCUGAAAUAGUUUGUAUCCCUCCAUUAUUACAUUCCAAUUGUGGGACUUAUCCCACCAGGUUUCAGUGAUGCCUAUUAUGUCAUAUUUAGUUUGCUGUACCAAGAGCUCAAGCUCAUCUUGUUUAUUUCCCAUCUUAUCAUUUGUGAGAUAAGAUAUAUAUAGAAAUAUUUCCCCUGCUUUGCGCAUUAGUGUACAGACAUUGAAACUCCAUCAAUCAUUCCCCCGUGUCUCUUAUUUAAGGAUUUUUUCCUCCCACCACUAGGUCUGCGUGCUGUUUGCUCCAUUUGGUCUAUGACAUUUGGAUGAUCAACUUCAUCAAUUGAUAGACUCCUACCUUCAGCAGCACUGUCUCCCUCCCCCACAUUAGUCAGUUUAAAGCCCUCCUGAUGAGGUUUCUGAGAUAUUUGGCAAAAACAUUCCUCCCAACCGUUGUGAGGUGCAGCCCAUCACUUGCCAGAAGUCCAUCUUCAAGAAACUGCAGUCCGUGAUCUAAGCAUCCAAACUGUUCCUGUUUACACCAUUUGCGAAGCCAGCUGUUCACUUCCACUGUUUUUCCCUCUCUCCCUGGGCCACGUCGUUCAACUGGGAGGACAGAUGAGAUGACAAUUUGUGCAUUUAAUUGCUUCAAUUUCCUGCCCAGAGCCUCGUAGUCUCUUUUGAUCUUCUGGAGGCUAUUGCUUGCAGUGUCAUUGGUUCCCACAUGAAUCAAGAGGAAGGGGUAUUUGUCAGUGGGUUUUAUGAUUCCUUGCAGUCGUUCAGUUACAUCUUGGAUCUUAGCCCCGGGGACAGCACACUUCCCGAGACAUCUUGUCAGGCCCACAGAUCACUGCUUCUGUUCCCCUCAGUAGGGAAUCCCCUAUCACCACUACAUGCCUCCUCUUAGGUUUGGUUGGGGUUCUUCCGUGAGCUGUCCGUUCCAAGGUCGCCUGCACAUUCCCUGAGGACUGACUUUGCUGCUCGUCUUCAUAUACCUGAUCGACUGUAAUGAGGGAGAGAUCCUCAAAUGGAGUCUGUUCUUCAUCUUCCAUGCUAGGGCAGAGGACCUCAAAGCAAUUGUGUAUUUCUAAACAAUCAGAGCGAACCCUGGGCCUCCUACUUCUUUGAGUCACGUUUCUCCAUAUAUCUGGCUCCUGUGUUGGUGAACUAGCCUCCUUCCCAGGGGAGUCCCCUGUCUCCUCCUUGGUGGAGACGGUGUGCUCUGUUGCUUCCAAGAAGAGCUCCAGCUCUCUAAUUCUUUGGAGUGUAGCUACACGUUCCUCCAGUUGUUGGACUUUGUCUUUUAAGAGGGCAAUCAACAUGCAAUUGCUGCAGGCAAACUGCCUGCAACCUUUGGCAAGAUGGCAAACAUUGCGCAGGAACCACAGGCGACUGCAGCUGUUCCCUCCCCCUCCAUCUUGAGAACGUGUCGUUGUGGGUGGCUACAGCGGUCCUCCAUCAAAAAAAGCGUGAAGACAGGACAAAUAACUCCCCCCACAAAAAAACCCAAGUCUCCCCCAACAAACGUUUGAGACUAGCUCCCCUAAAUCUAAAAGAUGGAUCAAACUGCACAGGGAGAGCAGUUAAUCAGCCACAAAGAAACACACACACACACAAGAAAACCCUUUUUGCUCCUUCUUCAACUGCUGCCCUGCAAGGUCAAUCACUUCCACCUGAAGCUGGUUUGGGUGGCUCCUGCGGACCAAUCAGACUGCUGCAUUCUGGAUCCUAUUGUUCUAAGAUCCAUCACAGUACAUAACAGGUUUGUAUGUUUGUCUUGUACCUGUUAGACCCCAACACCUACCUACUUGUAAAAGAUGUUAAAAACUGGCAAAGCAGGGAAUUGUUUUGAGGAUCGCAAAAUGUUCACAAAACAUCCACCAAGUUAGUUCAGUAGCAUUAAAGAGAAAGCUCUCUAUUCUGCCAUUCUAAAUUUCCCCUCACUAUUAAUGAACUAAAGCUUUACUUGAUUGAUGUAUCAUUUAAAUGGAUUCAUGCUCACAGCCCUGGUUUUUAUGGUUGGAAUAGUUGUGAUAUUUUAUUGUUUGUUAUAUGAUGGUUUUAUGAUGUUUUAUCCUUGUUUUGUUAUAUGGUAGUUUAUGGUACUCACAGUGUUUGUAAAGCUUCUUUGAAUUCGUGGACAAAGACGGUAAUAUGGAGAGCAAGCAUCAUGGGAUACAACAUUUAUAGAGUGGUACCUCUGGUUAUGGAUUUAAUUCAUUUUGGGGUGCCAUGCGUAACUAGAAGUGCCGCUUCUGCACACACAUGGGGCGCACAGAGCGCUUCUGCUCAUGCGCAAGCAGCGAAACCCGGAAGUAUACAUUUCCAGGUUUGCCAUGGCCAUAACCUGAAGAUUCCAUAACCUGGAGGUUAUGCAACACAAGGUACCAUUUUAUUGCAUUCAAAUCUAAAUGGGCCACAUGAAUGUCCCACAAAAAAGCAACUUUUGUAUUUCUUCUUACAUGGUAUGCAAAUUCAAAUUUAGGGUGUUGCUCUGCUUUGAAAAUUUUAGCUUCCUUCCCCAACUCAACAAACCACUACUUGUUUGUUCUCUUGGAGGUAGGGAAGUAACCGAGUCAGUUUUCUACAUGGUCAGCACUUCUUUCUUCCAUUUAACUAUAGUGGGGGGGGGGGAGUCUUCCAGGUACUUCAAGUAAUUGCGGUCUGAAAUUGAACAAUCUGCCCAGUUCCACAUUCACCUGUCGAUAAAACUCUUCUGAAUUUAGAACAGCGGCCAUUGAUUUCACUGUCCUUUGACUUGACCACAUCAACCAAAAUGACGCUUUGGGGAUGUAGGAAAAGUAGUAGCCAGAGGUUAACUUUAUUCAUCUAGCACCAUCACUAAGGGAAAAAGAACAUGAAAAAAGCCAAAACAAAGAAUUGAUCAAAUGGAGGAAGGACACAUGAAAUGAAAUCUACCAAGCAGCUCAGAGAAAAAUUGCCUUCCUAGGAAAAAAGAGAUAAUGAGAAAUUUUAGCUCAAUUGUCUGUAGAUACAAAUGCAUAGUUUGAUCCUACAGUAUGAGAUGAAGGUCUGAGUUCCUUGAAAAUGGGAGAUUUGAAUGUGCCUCAUAAUUUAAAAGUAGUGAAUACUUAAUGGGCCAUGUUGCAAAACAGAACAGUUUAACUGUGGCUACAUCUAACAGAACUAUUAAAAGUAUACGAAGCAAAAGGACCAUGUUGGCCCACAAGACAAAUUCCAAAAUCCACAUUAGAGCUGUACCUCAGGUUCCCAGAAAACCAGGCCUGACCAGAAGUCUCCAGCUUUGCCUACCCUCCCCCUGGUGGCAAGGGGAGGGUCCCAGUCUCCAGGGGGAGGGGGGAGAGUGCCUGUAAAAUAGAUAUUAUUAUUAAGAGGACUGUGCAAGCAGCUUGCAAGCUUCAGCCUGGCAUGAGCCAUCUUCACAUUAUUGCAAAGACCAGUGAUGGCCCUAAGUGAUCUGACCUCCACUCUCCUCCCAUCUCCCAAUUAACUCCUGUCUCCAGGGCUCAGUGGGAGGAGGGAGGCUUCAAGCCCACUGGAAUGGCCCUAAUACAAAGAACAUGAGAACAAAGGCAAAAGGGAAGCCAGAAGAUGGGGCUGCUGAGCAAACACAGGAGGGGAGGAAGCAAGGUGAUAAUAAGCAAGGAAGCCCAGAGUAGGGAAUGAGAGAGGAAUUCAGUGUCAAGAGAUUUAGAAUUCAAUUUAAUUAUUCUCCAAAUGAAUUUUAGGACCACAGUAGGCAGCAGGAAUUUAAUCUAGGAUCAGAACCACAACCCCAACUUUGAUUGUGGGUUUUAUUAAUUACAAAGAAAAAAAAAAUCUUGGAGCAGCCAGCAUAAAACAAUACUGUCAUGAGUCCAUUCCCAAGCUUGAUAACGAAGCAAGCAUAGUUAAUUAAAAACGAUGAUUUGUUGUCAAAACAACAGAUAGUUCCGGAGGGCUCUCACACAGCCUCCCGGCAUCAUCAAUCACAAUGACCCUUCUGAAGACUGCUUCCGGCGUGAUCAGAAGCAACGGAACUUUCACUUCCUAUCUUGCAGCCCUCCCAUUCGCUGUGACCUUGGACUGAGUGGGUCAGCUCCCGCCUCUUCUCUAUUCUCUGAGAGGCUUUCUCUUAACUCUUUCCCACCUGUUUGUGCUUCCUGCGAGCUUUGAGUGUGUUCUAGCCUGCUCCCAGCCAUUCCUUUAUCAACUGGCAUUCCAGGGGGCGGGGGCGCCUCUCCCAGCCCUGUCAGGGAAAGUCCAGUAACCCUCCAGCCUCUCCUGAACUGCAGAGGCUCAGGGCAGAGAGGCGGAGGGAACUGGUUUCUCCCAGGAGGAGUGCUCGCCUUAAGGCCAGGAGAGGCGGGUCACCUGGGGGCCGGGACCGCCCCUGGCCUCAGAGAAGAUAAAGGCCAGUCAGCCCGGUCCCAGGUUGCGGGAGCAACGACAUUGGAAACCUGUUUCUGCCAGCACCCAGACCUGUCUUUCCGGAGUUGCCGACCAUGCCUGGCUUUUGCUUUGAACCCAGCUUCCCCCUUGGUGGACAGUCUCCAGACAAUCGACCUAGGACCAGACUUUGACCACGCUUCACGGUAACACCCCCCCCCCGUACCAGCACACAAAUAAUGAAGGAAGCUGAGAGACAGAGUGGUGGUGGUGGAAUCCUGAUGCUAACAAUGUGUCCAUAUUCUUGCAUCAAAAUCACAUGAAAGCGAGGAAGGCAUAAUAAAACAGCCUCACAUAGUGCUAGAUAAAAUUAAUGUCCUAUCAAGGCAAUGUGGAAACACAAACUGGGGAAGCAAAACAUGAUUUUCCAUAUCUGUAUUUUGCAAUGUGCAAAGAGAUUGGCGGUGUUGGCCACAUUCAAUUGUGUCAACGGGCAAGCGGAAGAGUCUCGGGCUGCUUUUACUGAAUUGUCCUCAUGGGUGUCAAGAAAUGUAGAAAGGUUCAGCAAAGGAAAUGUAGAAUCAUAGAGUUGGAAGAGACCACAAGGGCCAUCGAGUCCAACCCCCUGCCAAGCAGGAAACACCAUCAGAGCACUCCUGACAUAUGGUUGUCAAGCCUCUGCUUAAAGACCUCCAAAGAAGGAGACUCCACCACACUCCUUGGCAGCAAAUUCCACUGUCGAACAGCUCUUGCUGUCAGGAAGUUCUUCCUAAUGUUUAGGUGGAAUCUUCUUUCUUGUAGUUUGGAUCCAUUGCUCCGUGUCCGCUUCUCUGGAGCAGCAGAAAACAACCUUUCUCCCUCCUCUAUGUGACAUCCUUUUAUAUAUUUGAACAUGGCUAUCAUAUCACCCCUUAACCUCCUCUUCUCCAGGCUAAACAUGCCCAGCUCCCUUAGCCG